GCAGACGCUGUUGCCGGCGACGACGGUGAGGAAGAAGAUCUGGGGGUAAGUGAGGGAAACGAUUGUUCCGGUGAUGAACAGGUACUGGAGGCCGUAGCCGAGUAAGCCGAGAGCGGAGCCGAUGAGGAGGACGAGCCAGAGAGGGAAAUGGAGGGCGGCUAAGCCGGCUAGGAAGCCGAAUAGCUUGCCGGCGUCGGAGGCGAAGGCUAAGUUGUUGAGCUGGAGCUGGGAGAUGGAGAGGAGGGAUUUGAGCUGGGAGGAGUAGGCUGGGAAGUUGGUGUUGGUUCCGUUUACUGAUUGGAGCCGUUUUAUUCCGAACAAGCUUACUGACUGGAGCCAUAUUAUUCCGACCAGGCUUAGCCAUUGGAGAGUAGUAGAGGUAGAGCUUGGCAUUUUUUGUUUUGGUUAGUUUAAAAUAUUUUAUUUUUUGGGUUUGGGGGGGAAUUUGUAUAUAUGGAGGGGUUGAAAUUGAAUUAUUGGGGGAGUUUGGUUAUUGUUGUAGCGACUUUAUGGGAUGUGUAGUUACUGAGAAUGGGCGGUUUUUGAUUUGUGUACGUGUGUGUGGGUUUUGGGUGAGAAGAAACUUGAAAUUGAAGGGGUUUGUUUAUGGAUGAAGAGAAAUUGACUUAGGUGUCUAAGUCGGUAUGAUUGUACUACGUACAACUUAUCAUUCGUGAAUUUACUACUCCAAUCCUUUGUCCUAGUUAGCAAGGUUUUGAGUUUGUUAUUGAGCUUUUUUGGAAGGAAGUUUGUUUUGGCAUCACACAUACAUGCAUGUGCACUAACCGAACUCAUAUACAAUUUCUGAGUUUUAUUGUUAUAGUGGAAGGGAUGUGAGUUGAAACGAAAUUCUUUUUCGAAAAGAAUUAUUGCUUUUUUAAUGGUUAUUAAAACUAACAUUCCCUGAUAAAAUUAUCAAUCAGUUCGGAGGGUUUAUACUCAAAAUUGGGUUAGACAAAGUUAAUAACCGUCGAGUCGAACAAGUUUAUGAUCAAUCAUAUUACAUUCUUUGAAAGAAAAAGAUUUUUUUUUAUUCGAAUAUAAAUUAUUUGAUUUUUACAAAUACAAAUUAUUUUUGAGAUUUUGAAUUUUUUUUUUGUCAAAACGUCACAUAAGUUAUAUCCAAGAAAUAUAAAAGUAGAGUACCUUAUACUGAAAAAAAUACCGAAUCUCACGAUUGAGCAUACUCAAAAUAACACAAUUGAUUGAAGAACUAGAGUCGUGGCAUUUUAGGUUCAGAAAAAAUUUAUUAUUUCACCACUCACAAAUUUUAAGGCGGGUAAAUUUUUUGUCGAUGAAAGGAGGGGGGGGGGGGCAUUUUUUUGUUUAUCUUCAUAGUAAAACAUCAAAACCUCUCCAUUCAAAUCCAGUGACUGCAAAGCUAUAAUUAGGAGGGUGGGACAUUUGCGAGAAACCCAAAAAAUGUGUGAAUGGGUGAGAGCAUUAAUAAGUAACAGUGAGUUGGUAGAGCCAUUUUUCUAGUUAGAAAGAUGGAUGGAUUAAUAAUAAUUGGCUUCUGGUUGAGUAGUAUAUUUAUUUAAGCAAAUAAUGCAUUGUAACCCCUAUUUUUUCAUGGGUUUGCUAAUUGAUCGAUAAGCCAUUUAAUUCCAUCGAAUGACACAGAAUUUCUCAAUAUUCAUGUCGGUUUUUUUAAUNNNNNNCGGUUUUAUAACUUAAUUUUUUUAAUAAAAAAAUACUUUUUACGUUUCAAAGUCAAGUAGGAAAGUAGUGAAGAACUAAGUUAUGUUAUUUGAAAAAUAAUGUGAAACUUAAUUAAUGUGUCAGAAAUAUAGGUAUAAGAUAAGAAGACAAGUAUUCAUAUGGAGUGAGGAUAUCGACCAGUGCUCUUCUUUGUCAACAAGAACAAUCUCAGACUUCAUUUCUCCAUUGAUUUCAAACCUUAAAUAUAUAUUUGUGGUAACAGACAUCCUGAACGAGUGGAGCUACUCCCACUCUCCUACUUCUGCAUUCCACUUUUACGUGAACCAGAAACAUCAAUUCAACUAACAAUUCAAGACUAGUUCAACUAACAAUGACUACGUACGCACCGCAAGCAAUUGAGGACUUGACUGAAGAAUUCACUCGUGGACGAAACGCGGGUAUGGCCGACAUGAACGAUCAAGAUCACUACAAAUGUUGUAUAUAAUGGGUCGAGAAUGAGAUAUGGUCGGACCGGAUGUAACAACGACUCAUGCCUCAUCUUCACUAGGAGUCAGAUAUUACCUACCUCAAAACAGGUCACGUCCAAAAUACUAUUCAUAUUCCUGGUUCCAUAUUUUUUUGUUUGAAGGGAUCAUGACCCUCCUUUUGAACACGUGGCUUUGUCAAUCUCUACCAUGCUUACGACCUGCCUCAAUACGCCACCAACCCAAAUCGGGCAAUCCAUCCAGGUGAUCAUAGCUUAUUGGACUUGUAUGAUUGUAUGCCUGGUUUGAUGAUCUUUGCAUUGUUUUCCCAUUUUCACACCCUAAUACAUGGUAGGAGGAUGAAUCUUUCACUCAAAAUCCAAACAAAAUUCAGGCCACUACCUUUGACUAAUUAACACAGAGUGUCAAAUCAUAUGAUGGUAUGAUGAUGGAUGACAUUGUGGCAGCAGCCAGUUCCCCGUCUCUCAAGUGUUUGCACAAGCUAGCUACUUAUAAUAACUUCAUAACGUGCAUUAUUAUCCCUUGGCUGAAAAUUGAAGGCAAACGCCACAUAUGAGGAGCCGCCGUCCUUUUAUUGGCGGAGAGCAUUCCCAUUCCCGACCCAUAAACCCUAUCACCAAAAUAAAUUGAUCGAGGCAUGGUUUUACAACCGGAUGUAAUUGUGGAUAGGGACAUAAUAUGGUACUAGCUAGGAAUGGGAUCUGAGUAUGUGACCCUGUUUUUUUUUCCCUUUGGAGAAAGAUCGACGACAUUGUUUCAGCUCCAGAGAGUUUGUCUUUAAUGAUGAUCGUAUAUCCUGACAAAUUAAUGGGAGUAUGUAUAGCUGCGGAUGAUCGAAGAUAUAUUAAUGGCCGCGAGAACUAAGAAUUUGGGUGUUUGAUCUACAAGGCAAAGCCCCGCAUCACGGUCUCGAGUCAUGCAACCUGAUGGGAUGCUUCUUGCAAAUCAUGUCGAGCGGGUGGACUUCAAUUGGCGAUUGUCGUGGCGCUUGCAUAAGAUCUGCCAAUUAUUUUCAGCUCAGGUCACACAGUUGAACCCUCACAAACUGCGGACCACAAUGUUGACAAUUGCAGAGGAUGGGACUUUCUUGCAGAGCCAGCUGGUAGAUGAGCUGGUCAUGCACUUGUUGCGGGACUGCCUCUUUGCAGUUAGCAAGUUGUAUUUUUAGACGCUUACAACUCGAGGUGAGAAUUUGCUUAAUCACGAGGGCUGAAUCGAGAAGUGGACUUGAAACCUCUUUAGAUUGCUUGGAAGAGAAGAUAGUAGACAGUAUAAGUGAAAUCAAAUUCAUCUGUUGCUAGCCAAGGGUGGUGAAACAUUACAACACCUUUUCAUCAUUAGGAACAUUCUGAGACUGUAAUGCACCAAAUACCAUGGUUAAACAGAUGAACUACUACUGAAAUCUCUGCCACAUAACAAGAAGAGCCUAUGAGUCUUUACUUCCACAUUUGAUUCUUGGUUAAUCCAACAGGUUCCUCGGUUCAAAUUACACGAAAAGCUUCUCCAAUUGCUACCUUAGCCUCUCAAAUCUCUGCCACAUAACAAGAAGAGCCUAUGAGUCUUUACUUCCACAUUUGAUACUUGGUUAAUCCAACAGGUUCCUCGGUUCAAAUUACACGAAAAGCUUCUCCAAUUGCUACCUUAGCCUCUCAAAUCUGAAGCAUGUAGCAACAAUGCUUACUCCGUUACUCGGGAUAGAUACAAACCAUGCUAAAAUACAUGAUGGUGAAUGCCAAAAGAAUAUGUGUGAGGGUGUGUUCAACUGAUUAGAGUUGUGAAUUUGUCAGGACAAGAAUACCACUACCAAAGCCACCACCAGUGCGUGAUCUAUGGACCCUGGAAACACAGUCAGCCGGAAUUUGCUCCUACUCGCAUGAACCUCGUGAAGCUUGUACAUCAGACUAGUCUGCACCAAUAACUAUCCAUGUUAAUCAAUCGAUACGAAUUACGAAGCUAACUGCAAUGUGUGUGCAUCUAAAACAACAACCAAAUGCAACAUGCUUCAAACAGUGAUUCUCUAAACCAUAUUUGAAGAAAAUUCCAUAAAAUGGUUUAUAUGUUGUUAAAAUGCUGAACUACAAAGCUUACAGGAGUACAGGACCAGGGUGGAGCUACAAAGUUCAGCCUUUAAACGGUUGGCUAUCACUCGUAAGUGUGGAAAUCAUUGAACAAUAUCAUGGUUUCAAAGGAGUAUUCAGGUCGUGCAAGAGAAAAAAAGCCCCAACAAAGUCUUCAAGCAGCCAGAGUUAUUGUUUGUAUGAGAAUGAAAGGAUCCAGACCGUUGAGAAUGUGAUCUUACCUGAGCUACAAUGGAAUCACCACCAUAGAUGGUGCAGGAUCGUUGAAAGCAACACCCUUUCACCUUGAAGUCGGGUUUCGACUGAUCUUGUGAGCUCUCUCCGGCAAGGAACACCUCAAACUCAGUUCUGCAGAGCUUGUUCACCGUCCUUUGGACUCUGAAUAGCAUCUCCUUCUCUGCCUCCUCACCUCCUUCAAAAACUUCCCAUGAUCCCUUCUACAUAAACCAAUUCAAAGCUGGGUUCUUUACAUUUGGAUCAAUCUCAAACUCAAAUGAGUUCACCCAAUCAAUCGUACUCGUAUUGAUUCUCUAAAAAUUAAUCAUAGAAACAGGAAACAGGAAGCCUAAGAACUCUAAUUUCACAAGCAAUUGAACUCAACUGAUACUCGAAGGAGCAAAUAGGAGACAGGAAUCAAUCAAACCCUAAGGAAGAAACAACAAAGCACUCACAUCGAGGCGGUGCAAGGAAAUCAAGGGACUACCAGAAGAAUUGAGAAUCAGCUUCUUGCACUGUCUCGAUUUCCAUGCUCUGGGGGAAAGAAGUGGAGCUACGCGAAAGAGUUCAUCCCCAGAGGAAUCGGCGAAACCAAGACUUCCCUGUGGAACUCCGGGAUGCUUCUUGGAGACAAACAAGUCCACCGGAAUCUGAGAAGCGGCUGCAUGGGCGACGACGGGAGGUGAGUCUUUGCCAUCCUCCAUUCACAGAUUGAGCUCGAAUUUUGUCAGCUGGCGAAAGGAAAAAGGGUUGAGAUGGCUGAAGAAAGCAGAAAGGGGAAAAGUGGAAUUAGUCAUGAUUUUUACAAUGUCUGGACUGAUCAAACGAAGUCAGCCCACUUUGUUCCUCAACAACAAGAAGAAUUCGUCGGGACGAAGAAAUCCAAACAGAUGUGUCUGGAAGUUGGCCGGUGUAGUGCCACGCGAAUGUCACUGGUCUUCCUUUUAGUUUUGGGUCAAACGCAUAUACGAAAUUACACACAUACCCUUGAGCCACAACGACGUCGUUCAUGCUUACAUGGGCCGACUACUACUAGUCUGCGACCCUCUGAGCUGAGUUCCCCGUCUGCUCUUAUUUGCAAUCUUUAUAUUUUCGAUUCACCGUCGCUGCUCCCCCUCCUCCAAGGCGGCGAUAUAGUUGUUGAAUUUUCUCCACGCCAGCAAAAGAAUGGGGAAGCAAAAGGGAGAUGGCGGCAGGAGCAAGAACCGACCUUCUAGCAGCAGGUUUUGGAGAGCUCACGAAAUUUUACUUCCUUCUAGCUCUUCUUCUUCUUCUCCUAUUCUUUAAGCAGUGAUGAUUGAGCUCAAAUUUUUUAUGCAUAAACGUUGUUUCUUGUAGUCUAGCAGCUUCUCUGUUGCCUUCGGGUUCUUCUGCAGCAGCCGUGGGAUUUGGCGGCUAUGUCGGGAGCUCUCGCUUUGAUGUUCCAGUUUCAGUCGACGACUCUGCUCCUUUUCUGGUGAGCUAAUACGACGACGUCGAAUCUGUAAAAUUCGAGAGGGUUGGAUCAUGGAGGUUUUUGUUCUUUUUAGCUGGUGUGAGAUUUUUGUGUUUGUGGAUUUUGCAGGACGUGGACAGUGAAGUUGCUCAACACAUAAAGAGGCUCGCGAGGAAGGAUCCCGUUACCAAGGUGUUUAUUGUUUCUCUAUUCGGCUGCUUUUUCUGUAUCAGUUCUUCAUAACUCUGAUCAUAUAUUUUGCAACAGCUUAAAGCACUGCAAGCAUUGUCUGCUCUGUUCAAAGUUAAGUCUGGAAAGGAUAUGGCGUUGAUUAUACCGCAAUGGGUAAACUUCUUCUGCCUCCCAUCGAUUUCUAAUAUGGGAUUCUAUUUACAUUGUUUGAAUGAAAGUAGUGCAACUAAAGCAUUCAUUAAUGAGUAAGAAUGUUUGCAGAUCAUGAUAGAGAACAGUUCAACUAGGGAUUGUUUUGUUAUUGUUCAUGAUAGGUGGUGCUGGCCCUAGAGUUUCAGACAAUGAUAAAUUAUUACAUGUUUUAGUCCAACCCUUAGGGUUUGACUGGAAGUGCUCUGAGUACAAUAUUUACAGUAGUUGAAGGAAAGUUAGGCUGUUAGACCUAAAUGUUUAUUUUAUCUCGUCUUCUCUUGCUGGUUAGGACUAUUGUCAUGUUCCUCCAAUCUAUCUAUGCAUAGUCAUACCGAUAUUUAGAUGCUUUUCAGGGAAAAGAAAUUCAAUCUCUGUGUUGAAGUUUGUAUCUUGUACCUGUGGCUUUCAUUGCCGUCUUUCCUCCUUUUAGCUGAAGAACGUGUCUCUUCUUUGUCUUUUUUUCUGCUCGUCCAGUCAAUAAUCUUUUAUGAACUGUCAAUUUCUGUUUCCUGAAUGACGCUUGUUUGAGUCUACUUGCUUCACAUCUUACUGUCUUUUCACUUUCCGUGCUGCUCUUUGUUCAGGCCUUUGAAUAUAAGAGGUUGCUGAUGGACUACAAUAGAGAAGUUCGGAGGGCAACGCACGAAACCAUGACCAAUCUUGUUGUUACUGUUGGGUAAUGACAUUUUGUUUUCAUGAUAUAUUCCAAUUGUAGAUUUUAAUGCAAAUGAAGUUGUCUUUCCUUAUGCUGGCAUUUUCGUGAUAUUUGUUGAUGUUUAUGUUUCUCCCUGCUUCUCGGCAACACCUAUCUUUAUCACAGGCGAGAUAUAGCUCCACAUCUCAGGACUUUGAUGGGACCGUGGUGGUUUUCACAAUUUGAUCCAGUUUCUGAAGUUUCUCUUUCUGCAAAGCGAUCAUUGCAGGUAAUUCUAGUUUACUCUAUUUAUAAUAGUUGACUAAUAGUUUUGCUGUUAGGAGAGACCGACGAUGAAUAUACAUUUUAUGUCUGUUUCAGAUGGUCAAUAAUCCUGCUGCUUACUUACUGUUCCUCAUGUUUAAUCAGGCAGCAUUUCCAGCACAAGAGAAAAGACUAGAUGCUUUCAUUUUAUGCGCAACGGAGAUAUUUAUGUAUUUGGAAGAAAAUUUGAAGUUGACACCACAAAGUCUGUCAGGUAAAGCUGUGGCUUUGGACGAAUUGGAGGACAUGUACCAUCAGGUAAUCUUGUAGCUGCUGUGUAAGGGUAUUGGUCUAUGACGGUUAGCUCUACGGAGCCAAUAAUAUUAUUAUUAAUGUGUUUGUUCUAGUUCUGAAGAUUUUCCCAUGUCGUUGAAAAAUUAGUGAAGCUAACUAGCAGGCUGACAUUCCACAAUUGAUGGUCCUUUAAAUGACGGAAUCGGAAAUGCGUAACUGUUUCUCAUAAGAUGAACAUUCGUAGUCUAAUUAGGAUGGCACGACUCUGUAGUACUUUGCUGAGGCAUGAACUUUAUGUUUUGUUGACUUCUCAAGUCAGUUCCUAUAUAUAUGGGAGCAUUCUUCUGUUUGCUUAAAUUGAUGACUUAAUUCAAGUAAUUUCUUGAUUUCCAGGCAGUCGCUUCCACUUUGCUCGCGUUAGCAACACUUAUUGAUGUUUUAUUUAGCUUGCAAUCUGAAACAGCUGGCCUGGAAAACGUUGCAGCUGAACCAAGAAAUGCCUCAAAGGCUAGGGCAACUGCUAUUUCUUUUGCUGAGAAGUUGUUCUCUGGGCACAAAUAUUUUCUAGACUUUCUUAAGUCACAAAACCCAGCAGUUAGGACAGCUGCAUAUUCUACACUGAAGAGCUUCAUUAAAAGUGUUCCUCAUGUUUUCAACGAUCAAAAUAUGAAAACAGUAGCUGUUGCUGUACUUGGUGCUUUCCAAGAGAAGGAUCCUGUUUGUUAUUCAUCAAUUUGGGACACAGUAUUAUUAUUUUCGAAAAGAUUCCCUGACAGCUGGACGAUAAUUAACGUUCAAAAGAAUUUCCUCGGCCGGUUUUGGAAUUUCUUAAGGCAUCAAUGUUUUGGUUCGCAGCAAGUCUCUUAUCCUGCAUUGAUUCUUUUUCUGGAGGCCGUGCCUUCCAAUGUAGCAGCAGGAGAGAGGUUCUUCCUUGACUUUUUCCAAAACCUAUGGGAUGGCAGGAACCUGUUGCGUUCAGCUGUAGCUGACCGUUUGGCAUUCUUCAAGGCCUUUAGGGAGUGCUUUCUUUAUGCACUGCAGAAUGCACCCAGGUACGAGUUUAUCAACUGUCACUUGUGGUCAAUUCAUUUGCUUGCUUGUCCAUCAUUGGAUGUAAAUAUUGUAUUAAUCUUUGUAUUAGCAGUUUAAUGUGGUUGAUUCUUUGCUAUGGUAAUUUUAUGUUUUCAGAUAAUGAGAUAAUCUUUUAUUGUUGCCAGGUAUUGCAAUGGGGUUGAUUCUAUACUGAAAUUUCGAGAUACCCUUGUUGAAGAAGUCCUCGUGCACCUUCUGUGGCAUGAUUACCUUUUUUCUGGAGGAUCCAGUGGUCAAGAUGCUGGGUCUUCUGUUAAGAACACAACAGGGUCAGUAAACCUGAAAUAUCCUUGGAGUUACUUGCAAGAAUUGGGGAAGUGCAUUACAGAAAUUCUUUCUGAAAGCUAUUUAAUAGAAUAUGAUGUGCUUUCAACUUACUCUGCGGCAUUUCGGGAGGAUUCUGUAAGCCUGUUUCAGAAAACAGUAAAUGUUUCAGAAAGAGCAGAAUGUGUUGAUCGAAUCAUCAAGUUUCUGUCAUUACUGGAGCAGCAUUCAGUUCAGAAAGGUGAAGAUUGGCCCUUGGUUCAGUUAGUAGGACCAAUGUUGGCCAACUCAUUCCCAUUGAUAAAAUCUUUUGUGAGUUACUUCGCUAAUAAAAAUGUCUUCUCUUGGUUUAGUUUGAUUCCAGGUGAUUCUCAUUGUUCGACAGAAAAAUGUUGUGCUCAAUUUAUUGCUGUUUCUCCAGUGGAAGACAGUCGAUGGCUUAUUUUCUGUAGGCAUGAGAUUUUGAGGUCACAUAGCAGCUUCAAUAGCAAACUGCAUCUGCCAGACUAAGCAUGCAUUAGAAAUUUCGUUGUUGUAUCCUGGCUGUUAAAACUUACUGCGUCAGUUAUGAAUUUAGGUCCUCUGUCCGUUUAGGCCUGGAGGUGUUCCCUUUGCAUUCUGGGAAAAUAGAAAAAAAAAGUAUUGCUGCUUGUUCUUGUCCCCAUUCUUGCGUGGACUUUAACAAUCUGGCUGAACCUUUUCCAAACGUUUGGAUGAUUUAGCGUAGGGAAAAAUAUUGAUCAGUAGUUCAUAUUUUUCAAUUCAUCCACUUCAAUGUCCCCAAAAUUAAGCUUAAGAUGUGUCCUUUUAACUAUAUUCCGAUAGUGUUGUCAUUCAUGGGCGUAAAAAUUUGUUUGGUGCAAUGUUUCUGACAUGUUUUCUGGACUUGUAUUUUGGGAUUCAGGAUGUUCCAGAUGGCAUUAAGCUUCUAUCAACGGCAGUUUCAAUUUUUGGUCCACAAAGAACUCUCCACCAACUUUUCAUCUGUAGCAAUGAGAGUCCUUGCAGCGCCAAUCCUGGUGAAAAGGACAAGGAGUUGGCCCCAUUCAUGCAAGUAUUCAGCGAGACAUUUGUUCCAUGGUGUUUAUCUGGUCACAGUUCCUCAAUCAGUAGUCGACUUGAUUUGUUACUUGAAUUGCUAAAUGAUGAAUCUUUUCCCAAGCAAUGGGACAUAAUUGUUUCAUAUGUGAUUAAUCAAACAAAUGGAAGUGGUAGAAUCGAGGCUGGGACCCUGGAGUCAGAAAGGUUGGUUUCACUGGCAAUGCUCUUGGAUAAAGCAAGAGUUGAAAUGAAAAGCAAGACACUGACCAGAACUUCAGCUCACCAGCACUGGUAUAAUCCACAGGCUUGGUUUCACGGGCUUCUAGAAUCGGCUGCAGUUCUUGUUGCCUAUUCUCCAAUCACAUUCACACGUUCUGCUUCUCAGUUUCUGUGGUAUGUACAAAGAAAUUUAUAUUCUAUCUUCAUUGUCGCUAUGGGUAAGAAAUUUAGGUCAUAAUGGGAAAAAUAUUUCUUUAGUGAAUUGUCACCUGCAUGCUUUCUAUUGUAGAUGUUAGACAUUUUUAUUUGUAGCUAUAUCUGUAUCUGACUAUAUGUUUAUGCAUAUGUUAUUGGGAAUCAGCUAUUGUUUCCAAUGUGAUUGUAAUGUUCUGAUUAUUUUAAUUUAUCUGGCAGUGCUGUUCUUGGGGGACCAUGCAAUGACAAUCAAAUAUUUUUCGUGUCAAAAAAUAUAAUCACAUUGAUUGCUAAAGCAUUCAACAGAAGAUUUCUCUCUUUCAUGGCCAAGUCCUCUUUUGAAUCAGUUAGAAAUUCAGUUUCUGUAUUAACCGAAGAGAUGGAUUAUGCUGAAAUUGGCAAUGACAGCGCUGUUAACAUAAUGGAGAUGACUCAAUUUUCACUCGAUGUACUUAGUGAUAGGUUCUUUUGCCUGAAAUCAAUAUCAGAGGACAUUGGACUAGUUUCAGGGAUCAUGGCUUCCGUUUUCAUCAUUAACUGGGAGUUCGAAAUGAUGACAAUGGAAGAACAUGCUAUUAAUGAUGAAUCAAAUGAGAAGAUGAUCGGAAGGAGAGAAGUUUGCCAAGUCGCUCGUGAUCUUUGCCUUAAACUAAAGGAUGCAUUCUGUGAAAGCCUUCCGGCGAACAUUCGAAUGCAGCUGGGAGACCUUCUGGUUCAGUCUGUCAGGUUGGUCGUUCUUAGGGAAUGUAAGCUGAGUGCUGGUGUGAUUACUUCUUUGGGCUGCUCUUGGAUGGAGGAACUCCUUGCAUGUCUGUGCAUUGAUCAACCUGAGGAACAGAAUUUACUUGACCAGCUGUUAAGCAAGGAUCAGACUUGGCCUUCAUGGAUCGUUGCAGAUUUUACGGUUGGAAGUACCUCAAAUAAGUUAAAUAUGGAAAACGAUACAUACGUAAGUAGCAUGUUUUUCGAAAUUUUUCUUUUCGCCGAAUCAAGCUUCUCAUUCAUUGUUUUAUAUAUAUGUGCUCUAAAUUCACGAUAUUGUCCUCAAAACAACAGUUGAAGCAUCUAAUUUUUACUCGGCUUCUCACACAUGGAAAUUGCUUAUUGCUUGAAUUUUGAAGGAAUUUCGCUUCAUGUGGUUUCACUGCUUAGAUGUCGAGUUGGAAAAUAAUGUUCUUAUAAGCAUUUCUGAGAUUUGGUAAUUAUUGUGUUGCAAGACUUUGAUAUAAAAGAUCAUACCCGGAGCUUCAAGCCGCAUUGUGCUUUCUAUAUGUCUUGUCUAGUUCAUAGUAAAUCGAUAAGAUGCAAUCACAUUUGGAAUAUGUCUUCUUAUUGUUUGUAUUAAACCAUUUACUUCUAGUCGUGGCACCCUAGAGGAUUUAAAACCAACUUCAGGUAUUAGAUUAAUGAGAAAGAAGCAAGUAAAUUCCCUGCAGAGAGUACCAAAUGCUGCUUGAGAAGUUCUUCCAAGCCUGUUUUGAUAUAUGCCUGGGAAACAUGAGAUAUCAUGGUUAAUAUCAUAACCUAGGUAUUACAUGCUCCGCCUGCUUUCUGGCUUGACUUUUUGUUGUCAUUCCAUUUUAAGUGUCACCUUUGUUUUCAUUUGACGUCUGGACUUUAGUUGGUAAUCUGCAAUUAAAUGGCCUGUGCAGGUAUCUGGCAAUGUCAAGUUUGUUUCUUUAAUUGACAAGCUUAUCAAGAAGGUCGGAAUCAAUAGAGUUCUAUGCCUUGAUGAUGAUGGCGAUGCCUCAUUGAAGGAUCCAAUGAAAGACGAGAGUACUACUCGAGCAUGGCUUGCAGCUGAAAUGUUAUGUACAUGGAAUUGGAUAGAAGGUGCUGUUGUUGAUUCUUUCUUACCUUCACUGGUUCUACCUGCCCAAGGUGGGAAUUAUCCUCGUGUACACAGUUUACUAGAUGACAUCUUGGACAUCCUGCUCAAUGGUGCUCUUGUUCAAGGAGACAGAGGCAGAGUAAGAUUGUCAAAUGUGUGGCCUGCUUCGAAUGACGAGCUAGGAAAAAUUGAAGAACCAUUCUUAAGGGCUUUGUUAACUUUGGUUGUUACUUUGUUUAAUGAUGGUAUAUGGGGAAGAGACAAAGCUCUGGAGCUGUUUGAGCUUCUCAUAACAAAGCUGUACAUUGGAGAAUCAGUAAACACCAAUUGCUUAAAAAUUCUUCCCUCGAUCAUUAAUGUUCUUAUACAAUCGGUAUGCCAGAGAGGUAGUACACCUUCCGAAUCUAGCCAAAAUAAUGAAGUUGACAUGCUAGAUCGAAAGCUGCAGGAUAUGCUCAAAGAUUGGUUGUAUAGGACCCUCAUGCUUCCACCUUUACUUGAGUGGACAUCUGGACAAGGUAAAUGCAAGUUUCACUGCAAACCCUUCUCUCCUAGUCUUCCAAUAAAAGUGGAAAACUAGCAUUGAUGAUAAAAUCCUUUCCCUAUAGUUCUUAUUUGCUAUUUUGAUUUUUUUUGGUCGAGAUAUCAAGAUAGCACACCAUCCUAAGCUAACGAAUUAUUUUGCUUUCAUUCAAUGAACAGAUAAGGAAGAAUGGGUUGAGCUAGUUAUUACUUGUUACCCUUUGAGCUUAAGCCCCUGCUCCAAAUCAUUGAAGUUGGAGAGAGACAUUAGCUUGGAAGAGCAGACACUUUUACUGGAAUUAUUCCGCAAACAGAAACACAGGACAAUACCAGUAGCUAAUCAACUUCCAGUUGUUCGGAUAUUGCUUUCGGAGUUGCUAGUCAUUUCUGUCGGCUAUUGCUGGAAACAAUUUGCGGAGGAUGAUUGGGAGUUCUUUUUCUCACAGAUUAGGGCCUCUAUUCAGUCAGUGGUUGUUAUAAUGGAAGAAAGUACAGAAAGUGUGAAUGAUAUCUUUUCUGAUGGCUCAGCCUCUGAAAGGCUGGAUGUUUUGAAGAAGCUGGAUCAGCUUAGUUUGAUUUCCGACGAUCCUACUGUAAAUAUUGCUAGCAAUGCCUUGGCUUCUUUCUCACUGUUUUAUGGGGCUUUGGGGCUCCAGUCAGGUAAGGAUGAUUCAAACUCAAUCGUUCUGGAGAGAUGGAGUUCGCCAGUUGGUAGACUGCAAGAAGCUAUUCUUCGACUGUUUUUCUGUACUGGAAUUUCUGAAGCUAUUUCAAGUACAUACAGUGAUGAAGCUGCAUCUAUUGUAGCGAAGUCUCGGUGUUGUAAUCCCUUAUUUUGGCAGUUGGUCGCUUCAAAUAUUAUUAACUCUUCUCCACAAGCUAGAGAAAGAGCAGUGAAAUCUGUUGAAUUUUGGGGGUUGAGCACUGGGUCAAUCAGUUCCUUGUACACGAUUUUGUUUUCCUCUAUACCAAUCCCAGCUUUGCAGCUUGCUGCCUAUGUUAUUCUCUCCACAGAGCCUGUUUCACAACUGGCUGUGGUGAAUGAUUCCAAUCGUGCGACAGAUGAUGUUUCUGGUAAUGAUCAAGAAACUUCUACUCUCGAAUUGUCAUCAGAAAAAAAUGUGAACUUGCCAGAGGAACUAUCCCUCAGAAUUGAGAAUCUGUCCUAUGAGGUGCUUGAAAUGGAUUUGAUGGGCCAUGAACGGGUAAUUAUCGACAACCUUGUUUUCAUUUGUAGUAGUCGUAUAAAUUAUUGCGAUUUUUGCGCUUCAAAAUAGUGGUUGAUUGAUAAUUGGCUUGUAUAUUUUGUAGGUAAAUCUAUUUCUUUCUUGGUCGUUAUUGCUGUCACAUCUGGGGUCAUUACCAACAACAUCUCCUGCUAGAGAGCAAUUAGUUCAGUAUGUCCAAGGUUCUGGUAAUUCAGUGAUAUUAGAUUGCAUCUUCCAGCAUAUUCCUCUCGAAGAGUUCUCCUCACAGAUACUUAAGAAGAAAGACGCUGAGCUUCCUCCUGAAGUGUCGGAAGCUGCAAGGGCAGCAGCUAGGGCCAUAAAUACUGGCUCAUUAUUGUUUGCCCUCGAAUCGUUAUGGCCAAUUGGACCAAACAACAUGGCUGCCCUUGCUGGAGCAUUAUAUGGUUUCAUGCUUUGUGUUCUUCCUGCUUAUGUUAGAAGAUGGUUUUCUGAAUUACGUGACCGUUCAAUGUCAUCUCUUAUUGAAUCAUUCACACGAUCAUGGUGCAGUCCUGCUCUGAUUGUUAAUGAACUCUCUCAGGUGUGUAUUAACAACUUGGAAAGUAAAGUUGUGCAAUUUUCUGAAGUGUUAUAUCCUGCAAAUCGGAUAAAAUUAUAAAAAAAAAGAACAGGAAAUUAUCUAUGAUUGGCACUCUUUACGUCAAGAGAAUGUAAUUUUUCAGAAUGCCAUUGUGAAUAAUUUUUUCAUUUCGUAACUUGCUAUCGUGCUUAAUACUAUGAUCCCUUGUAACUUUUAGCAACGCAAUUCUUUUUUGAUGCAGAUUAAAAAAGCCGACUUUGCUGAUGAGAUCUUUUCAGUCAGUGUGAGCAAAUCUGCCAAUGAAGUUGUUGCUACAUAUACAAAAGAAGAGACAGGAAUGGAUCUAGUUAUCCGUCUUCCUGCAGCGUAUCCACUACGUCAUGUUGAUGUUGAUUGUAUGAGAAGUCUGGGCAUAAGCGAGGUUAAGCAAAGGAAAUGGUUAAUGUCGAUGACAAUGUUUGUUCGCAAUCAGGUACAUAGUCAUGGCUAAAAGUGCUGUCUUGGCACACCAUAAAAUGCACUCUUCGCUUGUAGAAUCAGACUUUUUUUUUGGAGUAAUUGGGUUUGAUUUCAUAAAAAACCUUUGUAAGUUCAUUACAAGCUCUUUCCACACUUGACAGCUUGCAACAGUGAAAGCUGGCUUCUCUGAUAUAGAAUAUAAGAUGCGUUAGUCUUGUGUGAAGAGAAAAUUGAAUUCAGCUGCUCAUCUUAUGGCCUAUUUUGUUUCUUCUUGGAUCACUUAUUUGUAUGGACUGAUUGAUAAUCCUCCUAUUCUUUUGUUGUCUAUUCUGGAGGCUGAUAAUGCCAGAAUAGUUUAAUGAUAUCUCCAGGAAAUGAGAAUAAGUGAAUAACUCAUAGGAAAUUGAAGAUCUAUUUUAGGUCGACAAUCUCAAUUGAUGGUUAUUGAAUGUUGUUGCUGAAUGGCAACCUUUGAAACAAUUUUUAUUAGUCUGUUAUUCGAACUUCAGAUAAUCUAAUGAUAAUGGGGGUUUGGGGUGGUGUAAUGCAGAAUGGAGCUUUAGCCGGAGCAAUACGAACAUGGAAGAGCAAUUUGGAUAAAGAGUUCCAAGGUGUGGAGGAGUGCCCAAUUUGUUACAGCGUCAUCCACACAGACAACCGCAGCCUCCCUCGACUUGCUUGCCGAACUUGCAAGUACAAGUUCCAUUCAGCUUGUCUGUACAAGUGGUUCUCAACGUCUCACAAAUCUUCAUGCCCGCUCUGUCAGUCUCCCUUCUGAUGUAGAGACUCGGAGUAUAGCAAGUCUUAGGAAAUUUUGUCGCAGUUACAUUGCUGUUCUGUCAACCGUGGAAUAUCCAACAAGCUUGAUACUGUAAGUUCUCUUUCACUGCUCUGCAUGAUUUACAUUUACAGUGAAGUGUUUAGUUACCAGGCUUAUUUCACUGGUUUCAGGGCCGUUUGGCAGACUGAGCACGGCGUGGGUCAGUAAAUCUGUAUAGCAUGAUAUGGAAUCGCUUAUUGAACUGAGCUGUUGUUUUGAUAGAGCUGUACUGUUCCUGAGUAGAUUGAUGACAAUGUUGAUAACUAGUACUUGGUACUUAUCUACACUAGUAACCAAGCCACCUUAUCUUCCAAUCUACAUAUAAUUUCGUGUUUUUCUGCUCCGUUGUGCCUAGAGCUGCUUAGAGUCGCUGACGAUCCAAGCUUAGCUUUAACCAAUUCGAACAAAUAAAUUAGCAAAGCAGAUAAUUCACAGACCAACGCAGUUAUUUGAGCUCGUAAAACCACCAUCCACCACCAAAUUAUGUCCAGUGUACGUAGAUGAUUGAUGAAGAUGUGGAGGUGGUGGUUAAGGCAUGGAGUAAAGCGUUGCCGAGAGAGUCUUGGAUGUCGGCGAUCACGACUUUGGCUCCGUGUUUGGCGAAGAGCCUCACCGUUGCUUCUCCGAUCCCUCUGGCUCCGCCGGUCAUUAUCGCCACCUUUCCUUCCAACGUGUUCGUAUUAAAGUUUGUGCGUACAUUAAAAAGAAAAACUGUAGUUGAUUAAAGUAACAUUGACCGACGACUACUAUGCAUAUUAUCCUGCGGAAAAUCAUCUCCAAUCCUCGUUCGUUAACGUGCAUCAUGGAUUGGGUGGUUGACUCAAAGCUAUAAAGUCUCGGCUUAUUUAAUGGGAUAAUUUCCAACAAUUGAGUGGAUCCUUAAAUCAAUCAAAUGAAUGGAAGUGUGUGUACAACAAUAACUAUUUAGUUGAUAGGAACCCGGGACUCCUUGUAGACCUCAACUCAUGGACUUUUUUAAACAGACCGAAAACGUUACAAAGGAAAGCGAGAAACGUUGGGAUCUCCAGGUUAAAAAGCAACGAAACUAACACAUCGGUUACACUUCGAUCGCUUGAUAGUCAUUUCUAAUUAGAUAUAUAAUAAUGUACGUGGAAAAGAGUCCAUAUAGUUAGUUAACUAUUUUUUAAUUAGCACUUUUAGUGUGUUUUCUAUAAUGUAAUGUGUAUAUGAUGAGGAUAAUGAUAGAAUUUUAAAAAUAUAUGGCAUGAUUUCUGAAUUUAGUUUUUGUUUUAUAUUUGACGAUAAGCAUAUGGCAUGAAUGAGUUAGAACUUAAUAUCCGGUUUGGUCACAAAUCUAUUAGACUUGUAAUGACAUGACAUCUGACCACUAAUUUAUUAAAGUUAAAAUCAUUGUACAUUUCAUUUUUAUCAAUAUAAUAUGUUCUUAUUAUUAUAAUUCAUUUUCACUAACUCGUAUAAAGACACAUAAUAAUUUUCAAUUAUCUGAGACAAUUCUCUGAAAUAGUAAAUAUAUAUAAAAUUUAUGUAUAUAGUACCCACCUUUUCCAUAUACCGGCAAAAAAAAAGAUGAAGGGUUAAUUGUUGUAUUGUUUUUUAUAAACGAAUAAAAUUGAUGUUGGCAACUAAUAUAUAUUAUUCGCUUUAAGUCAAGUCCUACGCAUAUAUUUUUUAUUUCCUUUCUUUUUACCUUCUAACCAAGGCUCCCGUAUUAAUUUAUUUUUGAAUUUCCUUUAAAAUAUACCCCAUACUAAUUUAGUUGGUGAGUACUUUUAAGCCAAACAAUUUUUUUCUUGUUUAUCAAUAUGAUAUUUGGGUUAUUUUUCCAAUAAUAAUUAUAUUAUUUCAGUUAAUUUAGACAAUUAAAUAAUAUGAAGAUUGAAUGGUCUAGAUUGAUCUGAUCCCAUCCAAUAGAAUGGAUCUGCUUAAUCCAGAACCAGAGUCCCGUUGGAACGGCAUCCAUUUCCCCUGUUACUGUUUCGCCUCUGUACUUGGCUUUCGGAGCUUUAUUAUCAGCUGCCAUGGAAUGAAAUUGGAUUGCGCGUUCUUUCUACUUUGUUCUUAGCACCGAAUGAAUACUACAGUCAAGUCAUUGUUUAAUGCCAUUACAGGCGGACUGGAUCUCGAUCUCGAAACCCAUACUUGUAAAAUUGUAAGACGACUUUCGGGCUACAAUUUUAAGACGACUUCUGACAAUUCAUUCAGUCAUUGUUUAUGCAGAAAUGGGUUGGUGACAUCUAACUAUCUACUCUUUCUUAAUCUGCUCUAUAUGUAACCAAGAGAGCAAAUCUCAUAGGCAUAGCAAAUUGCUUAGCUAAACAAUAACCCAACAAAAAUGGCGCCCUUCGAUUUCAAGUCCAACAAUCACUUUGUUGCUUCCUCCGACGGAACUACUCUUCAAGUCCACGAGUUGACUGCCAAUCAUAUGGUUCAUCCUCUUUCCAUCCGUAAGGCUCAUUGGAAGCAAGUUGCCAACAUCAAUACGAUCAGCCUCGAAGAUGACCCGGAUGAGCAAAUCUCUUAUGAUGGGCUGCUGUUCUUCGAUGGUUAUGGCAGAAUCGAGGGAACCAAAGAGUUGACCAUGCUAGCCCAGCAUCUGAAGCGCCUACGCUUGUUGGUCAACCCUGAAGGUUACUGUUUUCAGGAAUCAGUGGAGCUUGCGGAUUAUGCAGAUUUCGGGAUUCACUAUCUUCGACUCAAUGAUCUGUUCAGCUGGCCCCAUCAUGGGGUUCAUUUGGCAACGACCUCCUUGUGGAGCCGGUCGGAGUUGAAAUAUCAGAUGCCGAAACCGAAGCCAACGACGACUGCUGAUGAUCAUCAUGGUCAUGGGAUUAAUUACUUGCAGAAGAAGUUAGAGGAAUUGAAAAGGCUGUUGAAAGAGAAAGAGGAUGAGCUGGAGAAGGCGGAUGAGGUGAAGGAUGAAGAAUUGGAGAAGUUAAGGAAGGAGAAAGAUGAAGAGAUAAGAGUGGUGAGGAAGAAGAAGGAUGAUGAGAAGGUUAAAGCAAGAAAAGCAGAGGAAGCUCUGGAGAAGCUGAAAGUUGAAAUGGAGGAUUCGAAAGAGUCGAAAGAUGAAGAGAUGGAACAGUUGAGAAAGCAGUUGAAAAGGAAGGAUGAAGAAAUGAGGAUUCUUAAAAGGGAGAAGGAUAAAUAUAAGGAAACAAAUGCGAAGAGGAUCGAGGAACUCGAGAAGCUGAAAGAGGAGAUGGAGGAUGCGAACGAGGAGCUGCGAAGGAUUCUAAAAGUUCACGAGCAAAAUGGCAAAGUGGAUGUAAAAUCAGCUAGGAAGAUUGCAGAACUGGAGAAGCAGAAGAAUGAGGAGUUGGAGAGGAUAACACGAGAGAAAAAUGACGAAAUUGCACGAAUCAAGAAAGACUAUUUAGAUGAAAAGUCUAAACUGCAAAAUAUAAUUCAAGAGAACAACGAGGAGCUCAAAAAAAUAACUCAAGAGAAGAAUGCGGAGGUGGAGAGGAUAACACGGGAGAAAAAUAAGGAGAUGGAGAGGAUAACACGAGAGAAAAAUGACGAAAUUGCACGAAUCAAGAAAGACUACAUGGAGGAGAAUUCUAAGCUGCAAAAGAUAAUUCAAAAGAACAACGAGGAUCUCAAAAAGAUAACUCAAGAGAAGAAUGAGGAGCUGCAGACGAUAACUCGAGAGCGAAAUGAUGAAAUUGCACAUAACAAAAAAAAUUUGGAGGAGCAGAGUUUUAAGUUGGAGAAGAUAAUUCAAGAAAAAAAUAAGGAGUUGCAGACGAUAACUCAAGAGAAAAAUGAUGAAAUUGCACAUAUUAAGAAAAAUUUGAAGGAGCAAGGUUCUAAGUUGGAGAAGAUAGUUCAAGAGAAGAAUGAGGAAAUGCAAAAAAUAACUCGAGAAAAAAAUAAUGAAAUUGCACGCAUCAAAAAAAAUUUGGAGGAGCAGAGUUCCAAGUUGGAGAAGAUAAUUGAAAAAAAGAAUGAAGAGCUACAGAAGAUAAUUCAAGAAAAAAAUGAUGAAAUUACAAGAAUCAAAAAAAAUUUGGAUGAGCAGGAUUUUAAACUACAGAAAAUAACUCGAGAGAAGAAUGAUGAAAUUGCAAAAGUCAAGAAAGAUAUGGAAGAGCAGUGUUCCAAACUUCAAAAGAUAACCCGAGAAAAAAAUGAGGAGCUGCAGAAGAUAACUCGAGAGAAGAAUGAUGAAAUUGCACGCAUAAAAAAAGACUUGGAGCAGUCUUCUACAAGUUCAUGGGCUAUUUUGCCUUCGAUUAGGUACCUUCCGAAGAGCUCAGAAGGUGAAAGGGUACAUUUUACGAGAAGGCGACAGGUUCCGCCUGAAACGUUUGUCUAUACCGAACAAUCGUAUGAUUUUAUCAGCUGUAAUAUGCCGAGAAUAGAGCCUAGUCUCAACGUUUUCAACAAUGCCCAGUUCGUCGACGAGGAGAAUACAGGGUGGCCUAUCCCGACUUCUACAUAUGUAUUUAUCGGCAAGAACAACAGAGGGUUCGAUAAGAACAACUGGUGGUUUGCCAAGACUACCCACCCUGAAGGCGGAUUGACAAUGCUGGCUUAUUACGAUGGCAAUUUCUCUCAAUUCAGUUCCGGUCCUGACCGUAUAAUUCGAUUGCCGUUUCUGAAAGAUGCUACCCUUGGACCUUAUAAGCCGUUCUUCCUGCUCGAUGUGCAUUCGUUAGGGGUGAAGUUGGCUUUCAUGUAUAGGGUUUAGUUAAGAACGUUCUUUCACUUUGUUGAGUUUGUUGUUCUGUGUUUGUUGUUCUGUGUUUGUUGUUCUGUGUUUGUUGAGGAAGAUGUGUGUAGUGUGUUUCAUUCACCAACCAUGAUGUUGCAGCCCCAUACAUACUGAUAGUUGCAGAAGCUAGUUCCUUUCAAAAUGUGGAAUUUUGAGGUGGUGAUAUUAUUCGAAAUUGAAAUUGUAACGGUCGUAGAAAUGAAUAUAUUAUCAACAACUUCAGUCUAUAUUAAACCGUUGAUAGUUUCUCCGAAUGAGGUUAAGUAUGAAAUGUGACAUCGUGUAAAAGCCACCAACAAAAAUCGUACGAAAAUUCAUAUUAAAGGUCGGUCAGAUUUUCUAGCCUCCGAAUCUCAAAAGUAAACCGUAAACACUAUACUAAAACUACAAAAUUCUUAAUUCUAAAUCCAAUACAAUUUUAUUUAUAUAAAAAAGAAAAUAAAUUAUUAUUAAGUAAAUAGUAUUUGGUUUUUUUAUAAAAUNNNNNNNNNNNNNNNNNNNNNNNNNNNNNNNNNNNNNNNNNNNNNNNNNNNNNNNNNNNNNNNNNNNNNNNNNNNNNNNNNNNNNNNNNNNNNNNNNNNNNNNNNNNNNNNNNNNNNNNNNNNNNNNNNNNNNNNNNNNNNNNNNNNNNNNNNNNNNNNNNNNNNNNNNNNNNNNNNNNNNNNNNNNNNNNNNNNNNNNNNNNNNNNNNNNNNNNNNNNNNNNNNNNNNNNNNNNNNNNNNNNNNNNNNNNNNNNNNNNNNNNNNNNNNNNAUGAUAAAACCUCAAUUUUUAGUCAUUUCCAACAUGCAUGAUAAAUAUUAGCCAAUAUGAAAAUUUUCAAUUUUCAUGUCGAAAUUGGUCAAUUUCCGUGUGUUAUACUAUGAAAAUCUGACCAUUUUCACAAGAAAAUUUCCAAACUUCCAAAUCGACUAAUAUUUGACAUGCAUGUUGAAAAUGGCUAAAAAAUCAAGUUUCACUUUGAUAACCUUUAUAAAUAAUGAUCAAAUAAAGUUAAACAUCAAUUUUACUUUGUGUUAUAUUAGUGUUAAAAUUUUACAAAUUGGCUUACGUUUUACAUGUUGAGCCGUCAUUACAUGAAUUGAGUUUUUUUAACUUCGGCCAUAUACAAUUUUGUGGAAACCAAAAUAUUUUAUCAUACAUUUCAAACACACAAACAAUAACAAAAUACACAAAUCUAUAUAUAUGCAAUCAACCCCGCAAUAAAAAAAUAUAAUUGAGUGUAUAGUAUACGGACACUAAAAAAAUCGGCAAUUACACCGUAUACAUUUGGUACUCAUAUUUUACUUUCUACGCACAUGCCGAUUACAUUACACUGCAAUGGGUGGUAACACACGUAAGGUGGUGCGUAAACUCGUACGCAAGGGAAAUAUACUAAUCAAUCAUACGUGGAAAUUAAACGCAGUGCUUGUUUAAUGUCAUUACAGUCGCCGACUGGAUCUCGAAAACCCAUACUUCAAAAAUUGAAAGGCGACUUUUGGGUUGCAAUUUUAAGACGACUUCUGACUGGAAUUGAAGAGGCUAUUGAAAGAGAAAGAGGAGGAACUCGAGAAGGCGGAUGAGGCGAAAGAUGAAGAAUUGGGGAAGUUGAAGAAGGGGAAAGAUGAAGAGAUAAGAGUGGCGAGGAAGAAGAAGGAUGGAGAGAAGGCAAAGGUUAGGAAAACAGAGGAAACUUUGGAGAAGCUGAAAGUGGAGAUGGAGGAUGCGAAGGAGGAGCUGCAGAGGAUUCUACGUGAGCAAAAUGGCAGAGUGCAUAUACAAUCAGCAAGAAGGAUUGAAGAACUAGAGAAAGAAAAGGAUGAAGAGCUACAGAAGAUAAUUCGAGAGAAAGAUGAGAAACUGUAGAAGAUAAUUGGAAAUAAAAAUAAUGAAAUUGCAAGAAACGAAAAAGAUUUGGAGGUGCAAGCUAGUUUUAAGAUGGAGAAGAUAACUCGAUAAAAAAUGAGGUGUUACAAAAGAUCACUCGAGAUAAAAAUAAUGAAAUUAUCGGAAUUAAGAAAGAUUUGGAGGAGCAUGGUUGUAAGUUGGAGAAGAUAACUCGAGAGAAGAAUGAGGAGAUGUAGACGAUAAUUCGAGAGAAAAAUGAAAAAAUUGCACAUAUAAAAAAAGAUUUGGAGGAGCGGGGUUCUAAAUUAGAGAAGAUAACUUGAAAGAAAAAUAAGGAGCUAUAGACGAUAAUUCGAAAGAAAAAUUAUGAAAUUGCACGCAUCAAAAAGAUUUGGAGGAACGGGGUUCUAAAAUGGAGAAGAUAACUUGAAAGAAAAAUGAGGAGUUAUAGAUGAUAACUCGAGAGAAAAAUGAUGAAAUUACACGUAUCAAAAAAAAAACUGAAGGAGCAAGGUUUUAAGUUGUAGAAGAUAACUCUAUAGAAAAAUGAGGAACUGUUGAAAAUGACUCGAGAGAAGAGUGAUGAAAUUACAAGAAUAAAAAAAGAUUUGGAGGAGAAAAGUUCUAAACUACAAAAGAUAAUUCGAGAAAAGAAUGAGGAGGGUGUGGAAGAUAACUCGAGAGAAGAAUGAUGAUAUUGCACGCAUCAAGAAAGAUUUGGAGCAGUGUUCUAAAAGUUCAUGAGCUAUUUUGCCAUCGGUUAAAUACCUUCCGAUGGGUUUAGAAGGUGAAAGGCUAUACCUAUCUAGAAGGCAAUGGGUUCUGCCUGAAACGUUUUGUCUAUACCGAACAUUCGUAUGAUUUCAUCAAUUGUAAUAUGCCGAUAAUAGAGCCUAAUUUCAACAUUUUCAACCUUGCCCAAUUCGUCAACGAGGAGAGUACAGGGUGGUCUAGCCCGGCUUCUAACAUUGUAUAUAUCGGCAAGAACAACAGAGGGUUCAAUAAGAACAACUGAUGGUUUGCCAAGACUGACCACCCUGAAGACGGAUUGACGAUGUUGGCUUACUACAACGGUAGUUUUUUGCAGUUUAGUUCAACAUAUUACGAUACAAUUCGGUUGUCCUUUCUGAAAGAUGCUACCCUUAUACCUUUUCAGCCGUUCUUCCUACUCAAAGUUCAUUCGUUAAGGGUGAAGUUGGCUUUCAUGUUUAGGAAUUAGAUGAGAGCAUUAUUUCCUAUUGUGCGUGGCUUUCAUAGGAUGUUUGAUUUUUUGAGGUUGUUGUUCUGUGUUUGUAGAUGUCUUGAUGAUGUGUUCUCAUUUUUAUGUGUUUCAUUCACGAAUGUACUGAUAGUUCGAGAAGUUAGUGUAUUGCGAAAAGUUAUAUAAUUUCUUAUAAAAAUGUGUAAUUCUGUAUCGCGUCAGAUUAAAAUCGUAAUGGGAUAGAAACAAACAUCAAGUGAGAAUCACUAUUAAAUAUGUUACGAAAACAGAUAAGAAAAUAGAUUGAUCGGAAUAUAUAUAUAUAUAUAUGGUUUUCACACGCUGACUAGGUAUGUCAACUUCAUCACUAAUAACACAACAAUUAAACAUCCAUCCAAGAAAAUUAAUAAGCAUAAGAAAGUACAAGGAGAAGGGUAUUACAAUUUACAUGUGAUGGUUAAUUAUCGGCUUAUCAUCCUUGAUUAUACUCUUCUUUUUUCGCGUUCGUACAAGACGAUUAUUCCAGUCUUUCGUAUAUAACUUGGGAAACAUCCAGACGAGCAAAUAGUCAACCUUUGGCCAAUACCAAAUCCGGAAACUCGACCAUAUCGCAGCUGGUAACAUAAGAGCGCCUAAGCCAAAAACAUAUCCAAAUGCCAUGCUUAAGAGGUCCCAAUCAACUCUUGAAGAAUGAUUCUCAUGGCUAAUUGUGGCAUCUCCAUGAACUGGUGAACUUGGAGUGCAAUUUUUCGUUAAAGGUAUCCCACACAAAUCUGGGUUAGCUCCAAAUGAAGUGUUGUCAAAUGUUUGAAACUGAUUGCCAGUUGGGAUUCUCCCGACUAGAUUGUUAUCCGAUAGGUUGAGGACUUCGAGGAAUUUCAUUCCUGUUAACUCAUCUGGGAUAUGUCCUUUGAGCUUGUUAUGAGAGAGAUCUAGAGACUCCAUGUUUGACAGAUCACCAAAAGCUGAUGGGAUAUUACCAGUAAAAGCAUUGUGGGAUAGAUUGAGGACCUGAACUGCUCUGAAUUUUCCCAUGACUUCUGGUAUUUUUCCAUCGAAAUUGUUGCUUGAAAAGUCCAUGGACUUGAAUACCUUUAGGAUCUUCACAAUUUCCCGUUGGAGGCCCUUGCUGCUAACAGUUAUGGAAUUUUCAUAAUCAGUGCUGUUAACGGAUUCAUAUUUGAGGUGAUCGUGCAGUCCCUCUGCACCUAUCAUCAUGUUUUCCCAGGUAGCCAAGUAUUUGGCAUUCAAGGGACCUGAAAAAUUGUUGAUUGCGAAGUCUACAAUCUGAAGCUUUUUCCAAGUACCGGGAAAAUGUGGACACCCAAUGCUCCCAUGGAAGAGGUUGUUUCGCAAGAUAAGAACACGCAAGUUGGGUCUGUUUCUUUGAAGACAAGGAAAGACAUCUGAUAUUCUGUUGUUUCCAAUGUCCAAAACUUCUAAUUCCGUGCAAUUCUCCAAGGACUUUGGAAUCUUUCCCACUAAUUGGUUCCCACUGAGGUCAAGAGUCUUUAAGGAACAAGAAGUUUGGAAUGUAUCCGGUAUCCCGCCACUAAGAUUAUUACCCCUCAAAUUUAGGAUAGCAAGCCAUUUGUUUCCUACUAAACAACCUGGAAUGGUGCCAUUCAAAUUAUUGUUUGAGAAAUCAAGGACUUCUUCGAGAUCCAUGCAAAUACUUGCAGGAAUAGCUCCUCUGAGGCGAUUGUUGGAUAAUGAAAAGAAGUUAGCGUUCGUUAGGUAAGUUCGAGCUUUAUUUGUAGUUGGAAUGGAACCAUUGAAAAGAUUGUAAGAAUAAUCAAUGUGAAAGGGUGAUGAUUGUAUGAUCGGAAUAUCACCUUGGAAUUGAUUGUCAUGUAUGUCCAAGAUAAAAAGACUAGGAAGAGAAACAGAUUGUAGCUGGAGACCCACUAGAUAGUUGUGAGAAAGAUUUAGAUAGAAAAGGCUUGUGGAUUCUAGAAUCCAACGAGGCACUACCCCAUUGAUGUUGUUGGCUGAAAGAUCUAGAUAUGUUAGCGAUGAUUGGCUUCCCAGCUCAGGAAAUGCCCUCAUAUUGCAGGAUGCCAUACGCAAGGUCUCAAACUGUGGAAUGAUGGAUAUAGUAGACUUGUUGUUGCCACUUAUGUCCACGGUCACGUUGUUGUAUGAAAGAUCAAGGUUGGUGAGAUUUUGCAACCUCUGAAUCCAACUGAAUUGUACACUUCCACUGAACUUAUUAUAAUGAAGAUAGAGGACUCGAAUUGUUGAAAGUGUAAAAAAUGAAUGAGGGAUCGGACCUUGUAGAUUAUUGUUGCUCAAAUCCAAAAAUUCUACAGCGAGAGAGGAAGCAAGGUUCGGAAACUCAGGAGCCUUACCUCGAAGUUGGUUAAAUGAGAGAUUAAUAUGCUCCAAGUAUGGACUAGCAAAUAAAGAUGGAGGGAUGGUUUCGUUGAAAGAAUUCUUGCUCAAGUCAGCAUAGACAAGUUUUUCAAAACUUUCCGAGUGACUUGGUAUAUAACCUGCUAGCUGGUUGUGAGAUAAGUCUACAUGCACGAGAUUCUUGAACAAGUCCAGUGAUAGAAGUAGACCUGUGAAAUUAUUGUAUGAGAAAUCCAGAUACUCCAGUUGAGUGAGUUUUUCGAACGUCUUUGGAACCAUUCCACUGAAACGACUUUGUGCAAGCUCUAUAUGGGAUAACUUGCCAAGGUUUCCCACUGAUGGGGGCAACACACCUGAGAAGUUUGUGUAACUCAGUAUCAGGGUCUUCAUACAGUGAUUCUGAGGGAAGUCUGGAAAAACCCCUUCAAGACGUUCAUUAUAAGACAAGUCGAGAACCUCCAAGCUUGGAAUUUGGAGUAUCUUUGCAGGAAAUGUUCCUUUCAACCCGCAAUCUCUCAUAGUCAGGCUAGUCAAGUUUCUGAAAUAUGCAAAUGAUUCCGGAACUGGUGAAGAGAAGUCGUUGUAAUCCAAUUGAACUACCGAUAGAUGUUGAAGCUUUGAGAGGGAAGGAUCGAGAGGGCCUGGCAGGAGACAAUUGGACAUGCUUAACACUUCGAGAUUCGGCAAUGAAGAAGAUAAGGCCUCACACCACUGGUUCCCCUGGUGAUGAUCAUAUAUGGUCACAAGAUCAAGUCGGAGAUCAACCAGCCGUGUCAAAUUUUCAACGAGUUCACCAAGAUUUGGGUAUUGGAGUUCUAGGCUCAUAGGAAUUGGAUACACAUUAGAAGUAGUUCCAUCCUGGAAUGAUAAAUCAAGAACCAUAAAUUCAUCCUGGAAUGACAAAUCAAGGCUAACCAAGCUUGUCAUCCGAGAUAUGCUAGCAGGAACUUGCCCAAAGAAGCCAGACCUGGAUAAAUUCAGAUAUCUCAAACUUGUGAGGUUGGCAAGGUCAUUUGGAACAUUUGUAUUGAAGUAGUUGUUAGAUAAAUCCAGGGACUGAAGAUACUGAAGGCUAAACAGAGCUUUGGAAUCAUCAAGUCCUCCGGUGAUGAAUUCGUUGCUCAAGUCGAGGUCGAUAACAUGACCAAAGCCACCAUGACCGCAAGUAAUGCCGGGCCAGUUACAGCAGUCAGUACUGGCAUUCCACUUGGCCAAUUUUGCAGAGUAUGAUUGGUCGAAAAUGAGGCCUUGUUUGAAUUGGAGCAGAAGCGAAUGUUGGUCACCCUGACAUCGGCCUGACACCAAGCUGACAAGGCUUCCAACUAGGAUCACUAUUGAGAGUGCGAGUAGGUGAAGUUUCAUUGUGGAGAAACUUGAAAGGAAAGAGCUUGAUUGUUGUUUUUCUGAAUAUGGUUGGUGUGUGUAGAGAUGAACUAAUGGGCGGGAGUUUAAGUAGAGAAGCUAAAGGGGAAGAUGUUCAAUUAAUAGUGAGUGCAAUGAAGUCAAGCAGGGAAGUAAACGCUAUGCAUUGAUUGGGGUUACUGUCUUGUUAAUUAUUCCACAGAUACGCGUUUUGGCUUUGGAUCACUGCAAACUCUUGACUUGUGACUUGUGAUUUUUACAAAGUCCUGCAAUCUCCAUCACGCCAUUAAAACUAUCAGUAGCGGUUCAAGAAGUUUGCAUCAUAGUGAUCAAAGAAACCACCAAUUAAAGAAUAACACGAGGCGAUGAACCAAAAGAAAAACACAAACUAAUUGAAGAAGAUCAUAUUCUAUGUUUCUAUUUUCAUAUGAAAUCAAUUGUUUCUAGCGUUUUGUUCCGCCCAAGAUGUUGUUGGUGUUGCAUGCUUCGAAGCUCAUAGAGAUAAUCAGGUUGAUACAGCGGGUUUAAUUGGAUGUGUUAGAGAAUAGUAUAAGAUCCAUUAUUAACCCUCUCUCAACAAUUCUAAUUAUUGAGAUGUAACGAUUCAUAACAGGAUGCAUGCCAAAGUCAUUAGCUCGAAUCCAACUCUAAAUCUCCAUCCUUUGGAAGAAAAUCGUUUUAAGCAGUAAGUAAGGCAAAACUUUGAACUCCUGUUUUCCUUCCAUGCUGCUAUGUCACAUGUAAAAUCACUAGCUUUGCUAUAUAGCAUUCUUUCAUUAGUUUGAUAUAUUGAUGAUUCCCCUACAAACGACAGCCCAGCCACACAUUCAACUGUAGUUACCUUGCCAUUUUCGUCAAUUAUUGGCAGUGAUGGUUGCCUUGCAAUUUCCAUUUGCCUCAAUCCACCUUCAGUAAUCUUUAAACCCUAUAUCUCAUCGUGAACAGUAUAUUACAGUAAAAUCGCCUACCUUUUUUGUUCUUAACAACAAUUAGACUGACAUCGUUUAGGAAACCAUGUAAACAUAAUAAAAAUUAAGUUCUGUUAAAACUAUAGGGAUGAAAUGCUCCUCCAGUUGGCCUUGUUGGCUGUUAAUAGUAAAUGUGACAGGUUUCUAAUAGUUUAGUGGUAUAUAAUGUAUUGAAGUCAACAUGUUCAAGAGAUGGAAAUGUUAGACCAUCAACAAAGAUGUCGCAAGUUCAACAAAAUAGCAAAAGAAACCAACAUGUAAUGGAUGCAGAGUAAAUUACCUGGACAUUAGCAAAGUGAAGACCUGUAAUCAAUACUGGGAAUAUGGAGCCUAGAAGACCAUGCGGAAACUAAGUCAAGUUCUGGAACCACAAAGCACCGCCCUGUUCAAGCACACGCAAGGCUUACUUCAAUGAGACUGGGUCAAAAGAACCAAAUCACCAUCAUGGCUUUGUUAAGAUAUUAUCCAGUAUCCCCAGUAGUUUUUCCAAUCUAAUUUUAUGAUUGAUUGUUUUUAAGCAAGGUUUAGACCUCUACUUGGUUUGGAUUACUUUCAUCCACCCUUUACCAUUUUAUAUACUAUGUAGUUGCUCUAGCAUACUCCAAAAUUUCCAACAAUUAGCAUCACAGAGAUACAAGAAGUCGUAAAGUAUACUGGGUGAUGAUCAAGAGACAUUCUUCGUAUACUGGUUACUGCCAAGAGAAAACAUGGAACCUGAAAUAAUUUGGAACAUAUAGCUCAGGCACUAUCUCAUCCCUUAAUCAAACAAAACAAAAGGAGUGUACUGAAUAUACAAUAGAACAUAACAAGGAGAUAAAUAUGAGCUUCUAUAUUCACUUGGUUGCACUAUCAAUAUGCGACACUCACUGUACGCAAGCAUGCUGAGCAGACAGCUGAUCCUCGCUAUUUAGAAACGUAACUUUGAGGUCAUCUAAUAGUCAAACUAUAGACUGAACCCAUAGUUCUUUUGGUUUUUCCUUUAUGGUAUUAGAAUUACAUCAAAGAACCACAACUGAAUCCUGCUGAGACAGGAGUUCUGCUAAACGUAGGAAAAAUCUUUUACCACCAGGGACAGUAGUAAUAUGAGUCUGACUCGUUCUGAGUCAAUGGUAAGGAAACAGAACAUGAAAAUGUUCACAACAGCGUCAAGAAUGAUAAAUCAGCAUACUGGAUUACGAAAUGGUUUAUAAGGUAGCCGACUAAUGAUCGUCGACUGCUAAUUAGCUCGUCUUUCGUUUUAAGCCGUCGCGGAUCAGUUCAGAACGGCGCGGCGGCGCGGCAACGGACUAACUAUCUUCUCUUUGUAUUGGGCUUCUCCUGCCCAAGCCCAGCACCCAUACAGCAAGCGUACCUUGGCCUCGGGCUCAAUAGGCCCAGAUAUAUGAGAAGUGCUGUUUCUUCUCUUUUACCGCUAGCUACACUACUAGCUGGUCUUUCGUCGCACCGCUUUGCAGAAGCAGCUGAACGGAAACCUCCGUCUUCUUUUUCCUCUUCCUCUUCUCAGAACAGUCAAGAUGCUAACGGCUGAUAUUCCGCCCAAUCAAACUAUCUACAUUAAAAACCUCAACGAGAAGGUCAAGAAAGAAGGUAUUAUUAUCUCUCAUUUACUCGUCCGCUGCCUCGCUGUUCUCUAAUGAAUAAUACUUGUACUUUGAACCCUAAAUCUCAUGGUCGUGGUUCAUGGCUUUUGGUUCGUUCACCAUUGUUGAGAAAUUUCAAUACUAGUCGGAGCGUAGUUGCUUUAGUUGCUUCGUUAGUCCAAGCUAUGAGUUGUAGGGGAGUUGUGAACAUAAUCUUGAACCCUUUGUUGGAGUUGUUGACUUGUUGCCGUUGUUUUAUAUGCCGCCCUUGAACUCUACCUCAGUUUCCCCGCUGGCCGAAGAUGGCAGCUAUUCUAUGUAGCUCAGUUUGAAUGUGAAGCGGCGUGUCCUAGUUUGGUGACCUAAUUGCCUGAUCUAAAUCAGAAUCUUGAGUGUACCUAUUUUCCUGAAUCCUAGUGAAAGGAUUUCUCUUUUGCAUAUUUGUAAACAGUCUGCCGGCUUCUGAUCUCGUUGUCUUUUAUGAUCCUUGUCCUUGAAACUUGAAAGUAUGUUUUGCCUGACACUUGUUGAGACCACUGGGAAGUAAAUUUCAACUUUCAGUAGGUUACAUAUUCUUUUUUGCAUGAACUUUUUUACUGGUUUUAUGGUGUUCUAGCCCUUUUCAUCUUUCACUGCAUUUAUCUUCUUCUUUUUCAGAAUUGAGAAGAUCGCUUUACUGUUUGUUUUCUCAAUAUGGAAGGAUUCUGGAUGUUGUUGCCUUGAAGACGGCCAAACUCAGAGGUCAGGCAUGGGUUUGCUUCAGUGAAGUGACAGCUGCAAGUAACGCAGUUCGGCAAAUGCAAGGUUUUCCUUUCUAUGAAAAACCCAUGGUACGUCGUAGUAUAUUUGGUUAGGAUCUGGUGUCUAUGUUGUUCCAAAUGAGUCUUCUGACUUUCUGAGAAGGAAAGAAAGUAAACAAAGAAAAAUUAUCUGUGCUGAGGCCUGAGGUGGUCAGUCUAACUAUAUUGUUGAAAUAGAAGUUGCUCGGGCGUACAGGGUUAAGUAUUAGGGUUUUUUGCUGAUAAAAAACUUACCCUGGGAAGGAGCUUCUCAUUCAUAUGAAUAUGAUCAUAUAGUCUCUUUUCAAAGUGACUACUCGAGCCACUUUCCGUUGUUGUAACUUAUAUUUGGGGUUGGAGAAAAGAAAAUUCAUAUAUGCAUUUUUGUUAUCUAUUCUGGUUUUAGAUAUAUCAUUGGCAUCAUUGAAAAUCAGAAACCAUGCUUACAACUAGUCAAUACUACAGAGCUCAAUGGACAUUUUAUACUUUUUUGUUAUAGAUUAUACAGCUCUGCUGUCAUUUACAUAGCAAGAAUAGAAAUUUGAUGGUUCUAGGACCUUGGUUUGAUGCAGCGCAUCCAAUAUGCAAAAACAAAGUCAGACUGCCUCGUAGAGGCAGAAGGAGUCUAUGAUCCAAAUGCAAAGAAGAAGAAAAAGCAGGAAGAGAAAGGUGAUUAACAAAAUCUUGUACUUUCUAGUCAGUUAUCAUAUGCAGUGUUACUACUUACAGCAUUUGACCUUUGAACUUUUAUGCAAAUCAUGUUACAUGCAUUCAUGCCUACAGCUGAAAAGAAAAGACGUGCUGAAGAAGCUCAUCAAUCUGCCCCAGCUAAUGGCGCAUCUGCUGACAAUAACAGAGCUCAUGUAAGUUGGAACUUCAUUCAUAACAUGAAGUUAUUCUGGCGUUACCUUAGACAUUAAUGAUAUUACAAUCUGGUGAAUGCUUGCUGAUGAUAUUAUGGGUUCCUCUGGAUAAUAGUCGCAGGCUCCUUUCCGCCAAGGAAGCAGUGGCGGUGAUCAAGAAGCAAUUCCUCCGAACAACAUUCUGUUCAUCCAGAAUCUGCCGCACGGAACCACGAGCAUGAUGCUGCACGUGCUCUUCCAACAGUACCCUGGGUUCAAGGAAGUCCGGAUGGUGGAAGCCAAGCCGGGGAUCGCAUUCGUGGAGUUUGAAGACGAUGUGCAGUCAUCCAUGGCGAUGCAGGCACUUCAAGGCUUCAAGAUUACUCCUCAAAACCCCAUGGCUAUCAGUUUUGCCAAGAAGUAGAUGAUGGAUGACACAUCGUAUGGUUUGACUAUUAUUGUACUGUAUGAAUUAGAGUAAACCAGGGCCAGAUAAAAGUCAAUAUUUCAGGCAAAGUUUAAACUGUGGAGUUGUUGAUUCAAUCAAUGUAUUGGAAGAGGAAUUUAAGUGAUGUCACAUUUCUGGAUCAAAUAUAGUCCGAGUUAUGGCGAGUUUUUCAGUUGCAACUUUUUACCAGCAACAUGUUCAAUGGUUUCAAAGACGCCGCCUGAGAAUUUUCAUGGACAAUUACGUACACGUGUAUAGCAUGCACGGUGGACAGCAAAUCUAAAGCACUACCAGGUUUCAAUGGCUAUAUACUCUGUUAGUAGACGGGUACAUUGUCUUGUUAGUAGAUGGUUGCUGAAUCAGAAAUUCCACCUCCUGCUCCCGGAAGGAUUCGUAUCACGGAUCAAGGAAUCCGGAUUGGGAAUCAUAUUCUCGGCGUGGGCAAUUGAGAAUCCUGGAUCAUGAAUCUGUGGGCGGAUUCCUGACGCACUGCGGUGGAGCUCUGUAAUAGAAGCGCUUCGGUUCGGGGUGCCAUUGAUAAUACUGCCAGUACAUGUGCCGGGUCAGGGGAUUAACGCGAGGGUAAUGUCGGAGAAGGUCUAUCUUAUCUACUGCCUUGCUCCUUGGCUCCCUACAGCUCCAGCCGCUCGCUGUAAUAGCUUGCUUCUCGGGUGGCUCGCACCCGGGGUGGUGCGGCUAAGCCAGAGGGACAUGUUCCUAAGGAGAAAGCCUUUGCAACCGAAGUGAGUCGAGGAGCCUAGUGACGUGCCAGCGCUACUAAUUGAGUGCCAGCACGUAGCUGUGCUGUCAGUAAGAAAGGAGAAAUUCCGAGGAAUGAUGACGACGGGGCUUUCGUGAGAAGAGAUGUGGCGGAGACGAUGAAGCUGGUGGUGGCGGAGAAAGAAGGACAGAGGUUUAGAGACAGAGCGGCGGAGGAGAGGGAGAAGCUGUUUGAGAAUCCAGUGAUUUACGAUCGUUGCUUUGCCGAGUUCGCGAGGGUUCUUAAGAGCACCGGCGCAUGUCCAUAAUUCGCAUUACAUUUUUCGGGAAAAUGGUCUUGUAAUUUGCCGACGUGGCAAUCGGUCCUGACCUGGCAGUUGAGUCGACAUCUAGUCAGUUUAAAUAAUAAUUAAACAUAAACUUAGAUUUCUGAAAAUUUGUUAAAUAAAUUAAAAUAUAAAAAUUGUUUCGUAGCUCCCUUCUACAGUCUAGACAGAGCAGAGGAUGACAAUCAUCCGUUCUGGUAAGGAUAAUGUUAGUGAUACGAAUAUGUAGUAGUGUUCACUUCAGAGCAACAUUUCACUGAACGCCCAACAAAACCGAAAACUCCAACACCAUAUCAAUGGCGGACGACGAAAUCCACAAGAAGCUCCACAUCGCAGUCUUCCCAUGGCUAGCAUUCGGUCACAUGAUUCCAUUCCUAGAGCUCUCCAAGCUCUUAGCCCAAGAAGGCCACUCGAUUUCCUACAUCUCAACACCACGUAACAUCAACCGUCUCCCCCAAUUCCCUGCUCAUCUCACUCACCUCUUUAACUUCGUCCGGAUUCCUCUCCCCGCCGGCGAUGGGAACCUCCCCGACGGAGCUGAAUCGACCUCCGAUCUCCCCCAGCACCUUGUCCCUUACCUCAAGCUCGCAUACGACGCUCUCGAACCGGAGCUGACCCAAUUCCUCGAGACCGAACGACCUGACUGGGUAAUUUACGAUUUCGCCCCUCACUGGCUCCCGCCCACAGCAGACCAGAUCCGCGGUAUCCGAUAGCAGCUAAGCUCGGCGUUUCCACCGUCUACUUCUCCAUCGUCUGGGCCGCCACGUGGUGCUUCUUCGCGCCGUCGUCCUCGACUGACGAUAGUGAAGUUUCUAGGAUGAAUCCGGUGGAUUUCACCGUACCUCCGAAAUGGAUCCCGUUCCCUUCCAACCUAGCGUAUCGUCUCCACGAAGCUAAGCGGCUUCUCGAGCCAAUGAAAUCGGCUCCUCCACAGCACGUCUCCGAUUUUGAACGAACAAGCUCCACCACAGCUGGAUGCGACGCCGUAGCGAUCCGAUCCUGUCCGGAUCUCGAAUCUGAUUGGCUCGACCUCGCGAGACAGCUCUACGGGAAGCCGUUUAUUCCAAUCGGCCUCCUCCCUCCACCUCCAGAUCCACGUUUCGUCGCCGACGAAACCUGGCUCGAAAUCUCGGAGUGGCUGAACAAGCAGGAGAAGGCAACGGUCGUGUAUGUUGCGUUCGGUACCGAAGUAGCCCUAACAAAAGACGAAAUUACAGAGCUAGCUCUAGGUCUCGAAUCCUCCGAGAUCCCGUUUGUAUGGGUACUGAAGCAGCAUUUCCACGACCUGCUGCCAAACGGAUUCAUUUCGCCAAUCGGAUUAUCCAAAUCUGGAAUCAUCUGCUCGGCCUGGGUGCCGCAGGUGAAGAUCCUAGGACACGAAUCAGUAGGCGGAUUCCUGACACACUGCGGGUGGAGUUCAGUGAUCGAAUCACUUCAUUUCGGUGUUCCUUUAAUCAUGCUGCCGCUACAUUUGUCGGAUCAAGGGCUGAUCGCGAGGGCGUUUGCGGAGAAGGAGGUGGGUAUCGAGAUUCCGAGGGACGAAGAGGACGGGGCUUUCUCGAGAGGAGAUGUGGCAGCGACGGUGAGGACGGUGGUGGCGGAGGCGGAAGGGCAGAGGUACAGAGACAGAGCGGCGGAGGAGAAGGAGAAGGUGUUUGGGAAUCGGGAGAUUCAUGAUCGUUGCUUUGCUGAGUUUGUGAGAUUUCUUGAAGAUCAUCGUAGGAACAAGGCGUUGGGCGAGACACCGGUAAACUAGAGGAUUCCUUCAUUUGGAUUUAGAGUGUGUAAGACCAUCUCCAAUUUCAAAUGGUUAAAACUUGUUUAAUGUAGAAACUUAAAAUUUUAAAUGGUUAAAAAAUAUUGUUGUAGUCUUAUACUUAGUUAAAAUUAAGGUAAAAUAGUUAUAUUUAGUCAAUUAAUAAAAAAUAAUUAUGUAAAUUCCAUUAAAGAAAAAUGAUCUAAUAUAUAAAAAUUCUUAGUAGAAUAUAUAUGUUUUUAUUAAUAUGUUAUAAAAUAAAGUUUAAUAUUUAUAAUUAAAAUNNNNNNNNNNNNNNNNNNNNNNNNNNNNNNNNNNNNNNNNNNNNNNNNNNNNNNNNNNNNNNNNNNNNNNNNNNNNNNNNNNNNNNNNNNNNNNNNNNNNNNNNNNNNNNNNNNNNNNNNNNNNNNNNNNNNNNNNNNNNNNNNNNNNNNNNNNNNNNNNNNNNNNNNNNNNNNNNNNNNNNNNNNNNNNNNNNNNNNNNNNNNNNNNNNNNNNNNNNNNNNNNNNNNNNNNNNNNNNNNNNNNNNNNNNNNNNNNNNNNNNNNNNNNNNNNNNNNNNNNNNNNNNNNNNNNNNNNNNNNNNNNNNNNNNNNNNNNNNNNNNNNNNNNNNNNNNNNNNNNNNNNNNNNNNNNNNNNNNNNNNNNNNNNNNNNNNNNNNNNNNNNNNNNNNNNNNNNNNNNNNNNNNNNNNNNNNNNNNNNNNNNNNNNNNNNNNNNNNNNNNNNNNNNNNNNNNNNNNNNNNNNNNNNNNNNNNNNNNNNNNNNNNNNNNNNNNNNNUAACCCGGUAAAUAAUGUCCAAAUGAAGUUAAAACUCAAUUUUUACUUGACUUCAUGUUAGUGUUGGAAAUUGUCAAAUUGGCUUAUUUUAUUUAAUCUAUGAAUAUUGUUAAUAAAAUAUUAUAGUUAAAAUUGUUAACUACUAACCAUAUUAAAAUUAUUAAAAAUUAAAUUAAUUAAAACUCCUAUAUAAUUAGUAGUAGGAUUACUUUAUAAAAAAAUUUAAUUUUUUUUAUUUACAACAGGUAACCUUUUAUUUAAGUUGCCCUUUGUUCAUAGCUUAACCAUUAAUUUCAUGGUACGUUAUCGCCUUUUGGUUUGGGUAAUGGUAUAUUUGUACUUUUAGAAAGAAAAGUUUAUGAGUCGUCAGCAAUACGUCAGGAUGCGGCCAUUGAGAACAGAGGGUAAAUAAAGCAACAAUUUGGCCAUUUACGGCUGCUACUAUUGCCAGUUCGGUCUGAAUGCAAAAGAUCUUCUUUUUGUUUGUGUUUGUUGCGAGUGUUAGUUUUGUUGCCAGAAAAGAAAGAUAUCUAAAAAUGCUGAGGAGGGAGGGCAGCCGCCACCCAGUCAAACCCACGAUUUGUUUGACUAUAGACAUUUAAUUUUAACCAACCCCCACUCGCACACCUUCCCACCCAUUACACACUCUAAUCCAAACUAUAAACACUAUUUAAUGCCAAUUUUAAUUAGAUUUUGUCGACAUAAGAUAAAGGAAAAAUUAAAUUCAGAAAGUCUAACCUACCAUCCGUUUGCAAAAUUUGGCAUAUCUGUAUUUGCAGCUUGUUGAAUCAAUAGAAAUUCAUCAGAUGAUGUAGGAUUUAUUCGCUUGCACAAUAACGCUGUUUCAUAUGUAAUGAUUCUACGCAGAUGAAUUCGAGAUAGAGUCGAUUUAAAGCGUACCUUCACUCAAAACUAAAUAAAAUUUGCAUCUUUGAGUUGAGAAAAUAGCAAUUCCCGAAUAUUUGGGUUUGUUGAAUAUUUGAGAGAUUAAUUAUGAAUGUAAUGUUACUAACUCUCAGCCAUAUUUUAUAAUUUUCUAGUAUAAUUUAAACACUAGAAGUUGUCUGAUUUAUAAAAGACAAUAACUAUACUUUAUCGAUACAUUAUUCACCCACACUAUAUUUCAUUAAUUUCGCGGUUCACCUAACAAAAAAACCUAAAAAUGGACAAACCAUCAUCACAAUUCAGAACACAUCGAUCAACACUCAUAACCCAGCAAAACUUUACACUAGAUUAUGUAUGAUUAAUGAUUUAAUGCAUACUUUAUAAUUAAUUAAUCCACCAUACAGCAACAAGCAACAAAAAGAAAACAGAUAAAGAAAGACUUAACAAAGUCAAAACUCAAUUCGCCCUUUUAUGCCCUUUCCUACUAGCUCCCUGCACCUUCCUAGAACCAUCUCUAUGCAGCAUUUCCCAUUUUGCCCCCCAACCCUUUUUCUCAUCCAAUCACUAAAAUAAAGCUCUCCUCCUUCACCACGGCACCGCACUCUAUAUUUCUCCCCCCUUCCUCCCUCCUUCUUCCUCCAUUCUUUCUCUUCUUCUGUUUCUUUCCUCUUCUUUCCAUUUUCAUGGCAUCUUCCUCAGACACCUCCCACCACCACCACACCUUCACUUUCUCUUCUCACCCUUUCAUGACCAACUCCGCCACUACUUUCUCCGACCUCCUCUCCGACCAUCCCCCGCCACCGCCGCCUGAUUCUCACCGCCACCGAGGCGGCGGCUUAUCCGAUCGAAUCGCUGAGAGGACAGGCUCCGGCGUCCCCAAGUUCAAGUCCAUCCCUCCUCCUUCCCUCCCCAUUUCUCCUCCUUUCUCCCCUUCUUCCUUCUUCGCCAUCCCUCCCGGCUUGAGUCCCGCCGAGCUCCUCGACUCCCCUGUCUUGCUCUCCUCCUCCCACGUCAGCUUCUCUUCUUUCUUUGAUUUCAUUUUCAGUUUCCAAUUUUGAUCGCUUAGUGGUUUAAUUUAAUUUUAAUCGUAAUUUUGAAUUUGUCAUUACAGAUUCUGCCGUCUCCGACUACCGGAACAUUUCCUGCUCAGGCGUUCUGGACCAACCCCAAUUCAAUCCAAUCUCAUCGGAGAAACGUUAAGCAAGAAGCAGCUGAAGAUAAAAUCUCCUCCGAUUUCUCCUUCCACCAGACGGUAUGGUCUACACUCUGUUUGGCUAAUUUGGCCGUGGAAACUGUGUGCAAUCGGAAUUGUGAAAUUGAAUCGUUGUUUCAGGUACAAAGCCACCAACAGGAGGACUGGAGCUAUCAGGAAGCAAAGAGGAAGGAGGAUGAGUCGUCAUUUCAAAGCUUCUCACCGGAAAUUGCCACGAUUCAGGCGGCUCCUGCGGCGCCGCCGCCGAGGCAGUACCAGUCGGUGAGGGAGCAGAGGAGGGCGGAGGACGGAUACAACUGGAGGAAGUACGGGCAGAAGCAGGUGAAAGGGAGCGAGAAUCCGAGGAGCUACUACAAGUGCACUUUCCCUAAUUGUCCGACGAAGAAGAAGGUGGAGAAGAGGUCUUCAGAUGGGCAGAUUACUGAGAUUGUUUACAAGGGCAGCCAUAACCAUCCCAAGCCUCAGUCUAAGCAGAGAUCGUCUUCCGCCGCUUCCUCCGUCACUACUGCUUCGAAUUCUCAGGCGAUUCAUCACCCUGCUCAGAGUUAUGAUCAGAUUCAAGAACACUCGUUUGGGACUACUACUCAUGGUAGCGGCCAAAUGGACACUCCGGAGAACUCUUCCAUCUCAAUCGGAGGAGGAGACGAUGAUUUUGACUCGCAUAGAUCAGGGAGGGAUGAGAUUGAUGAGGAUGAACCUGAUGCCAAACGAUGGUAAGUUUCUAUACUUUGCUGCUUAAUUCCGGCGUCCCUGAAUCAUACAGUCGUAGAUUUUAAACGAUUUUCAAAUCUAACACAUUUGAAAAAAUAGGUAUAAAUUUUAAAUUUGAGAAUUUUAUAUAGUAGUAUCGAGCUUUGAGACAGGGGAUCCUGAAAGGUAACUUCGAAUGAUAGUUGAGGUUUUAUGCUAGUAAGAGUUGUAGAGCCUCGAAUCGUCAGGAAAUCCAUCGUAUUUUAAAUAUAAAAGUAUCAUAAUUUUUAAUUUCGAGAGUUUUACGUAGAAUUUUGUCAUAUUUUGUGAGUAAGUAUCUUAAGAGGUAGUCCUGAUUGGGACUAGCUACAUUAAACUUCAAUCCUAAUAGUUUGUUUGCCAUAUGUUUGAUUGAUCAGGAGAAGAGACGUAGAGAACGACGGAAUAUCGUCAUCAUCAAUGGCGGCAACUGGAAACAAAGCGGUGAGAGAGCCAAGAGUCGUAGUACAAACAAGGAGCGACAUAGACAUUCUCGACGACGGGUACAAAUGGAGGAAGUAUGGCCAAAAGGUGGUGAAGGGAAACCCUAAUCCAAGAAGCUACUACAAAUGCACGUACAUCGGUUGUCCGGUGAGGAAGCACGUAGAAAGGGCUUCCACGGAUAUGAAAUCGGUAAUCACCACCUACGAAGGUAAGCACAAUCACAACGUCCCCGCAGCUCGCGGCAGCAGCCACCCUUCAACCAACAGAAUGGGUCAGAGUGGUGCAGCCGGAGAGCAAUACUACUGCACCAUCGGAGAGAAGGCUGCCGAUGGUGCAACAACAUGAGGAAGCAGGGUUCGGAUUUUCGGAGCUGAUGAUGGGGAAUCCAAUGGGGGAGAGCAUCUUCAACAGGAGUACUAAAGAUGAACCAAGAGAUGAAAGCUUCUUGGAAUCCUUGUUGUUUUGAUGGAAUAGAUAAUUUGAUUUUUUAUUUAUUCAUCAAUUGGGUUUGUUUAUUACUUUUGGGGUGUAAAUCUGUAGUUGCAGGCAUAUGGUUUGUCUGUAUAGUCCAAAGUAGAAGUUCUCUUCUUUUAGGUGCAUAUGAGAGAUUAGCUAUAGCUCAUUGCCCACAUCACUUCACAAAAGUUCAUCUUCUUGUAAUUUUUCAUACGAAUUGGUUCGAGGCCUUUGGCAUGUCUCGAGUCGAUUAUUUGUACCAAACUUUGUAUUAUUAUUUGAUUUAUCAUCAAAGCAAUACAGCUUAUAUAUUUAUUUGAUUCUAAAUUUCGUAUAUCUAAAUUGAUAUAAAUAAAGUCGUUAGAUGGAACAUGUAUUUUGAAAAUGAACCAAUAUAAAAAAUAUCUAUUUUUUUUGUCUGUUUGAAUGGGUCAAAAUGGGAGGAUGCUGCUUUCCAGCCGCCAGGAUGAUGUAGUAGAAAUUGAUUGGGGAUUAGUAAUUGCUUGAGGCACAAGUUUGGUGAAGAUGUCAACUCCGUGAAAUUUAAAGCGCGUCCACUCACUUGCCUUCCCCAAUUUUGUAUUUACUUCCCUUUUCUAGAAGAAGAAAACGACCACAACAACAAAAAGAACAGCUGUGAAAAAAAAAGCCGCCAUGGCUAUCAAAUCCGUAGUAUUUAGCUAGAAAUGGAACUAUAUUACAAUAACUGUGGAAACGAAACUAACAUGAACUCUUGACUAGUCAGUGAAUUUCUAUUGAUAAAUGUACACCAAUAUAUAAAUGUAAAAUGAGUAUAAAUUAUUUUUUAUCUUUAUUUAGACUUCUCACCUCCGGGAAAAUUAAUUCACCGAUCUUUCGUAGCUAUCGUAUAUUUUGGGUUUAAACUUAGGUGUUCAUUAUUGAUAACGAUGAGCAAUUCGUCACACGAAUGUGUCUCUAACCGGACCUUAAACCAGUCGAAUUAAUCAAAGUAUUUCGACAUCAGAAUAUUGACGUGUAGACCGGUUUGUAUAGGUUGGAUUCUGGGUGGGUUGUUGGUCAUGAUUUAUCGAGUUACAAAAAUAAAAGGAUGCUAACACUAAGGAUCGAACCUCGUUCAAUGCUCAUUGGACUUCAGCAUAUUUAGGCCUGUUAACCUUCUCCGACGGUUUUAGUUGUUACAAGUCCACGGCCUGCUGGCCUCCAUGGUACUUUGGGCUUGUGGUGUAAUUUCGGCUUAGAAAUUUGAAACCUUAAGUCUCUACCUAUGGGCUGAAAUAAUAGCCCAUUUAAAUUUUUUUACCUCUAAGCCCACCAUGUGGUUUGAAUGGGCACCUUCAAAUCUCUUUUGUUUUUAUUGUUUAUGAUCCAAGACUGAACUUUCAUCCGAGUGACGUGUUAUAUGCUAAACGAGUUAUGGAUUCAUUAAGUCAUAAAUUAAAUAUUUUAAUUGUUAAUAAAUUUAUAACGCGAAUCGAAGUGAGUCAUACUAAUCAAAAAUCAACACUAACAACUCUACUAAUUAAUAAAACUAACUAUAUUUUAUAAGUAUACAACUAACAAGACACAUACACCCACAUCCACCUACAACAAUAUUAACAAAGUUAAUCCUAAAUCAUUUGCUCUAAAAAAAAGAUAAUCCAAAAUCAAUGUCAACCUUCCCUAAAGGGUAGGUAGUUGACAUCAAAAGGGUAGAUGUCUUUUUCAUUGUGAUUAAUUAUUGUUGUUCCCUCCUUAGUCCUUAAACUGCUGAUUUUUGUCUUCAUAACAAAACAUAAUCUAAUUUGAAAUAUAUGAAACACAAAUGUAAACAUUAAAAUCACUAACCUAUUUCAUUCCACCGGUAAUAAUAUAGACAAUUCAAACAUCAAUUUAUUCAUCAAGACUGUCUAAUAUAACUCUGAUAUAUGUAGUUAUGGGCCUAAUCUCGUAUCGAUUCGACAUCUAAGACUGUUCAAAACUAUGGAUUUCACCUCAUCGGACUUCAAUCCCCCUAAGGUUAUAAUACUAAACCAUUUGAGUCGUAACACUUAUAUUAAGUCAUUGAAAGAUAGUAAUUAGCGAUAAUUGAAGUAUUGGGAUUCACAAUUAACAUUGAGAACGUGGUGAGAAAAAGUACAUUUGAAGGUAAAACAAAACAAGUGGUUAGUACUUAAUUUAUGGAACUUUGUACUCAUAAAAAGAAUGGAAAUGUUCAUGGUUUUUGGGGAUUGCCGAGCAAGAGGACAGGAAUUUUAAGAUCUUAGCACUGUAAACAAGUGAUUAAUUAUUAUUAGUUAUGGUUUGAGGAAGAAAAUGUGAACAUCAAUUGUAACCACUGUAAUGUCAUUCAAUAUUGAAACAAACAUUGUAGAUCAAAAGCAUUGAACCAAGAUUUAGGUUCAUACAAAAGGCAAGGCGAGUCUAGCUAGGUUAUCCGCUCGCUCUAUAAUGAAAAUUGGCGUAAUCGACAGUACUCGAGAUUAAUAGACCCAAUCAUACGCCCAAAAAAAUCGUGUUAAGAUGAGCCCUAGUUAAGCUAAUGCAUAAGAUGAAAGAGUGCGGGCAAUAAGGAAAACAAAUGACACAUCCCAUAACCAUAAUAUUCAACUUAUACAAGCAAAAAAAUCAACAUAAACCAGUUGAACUGAACUGAUUGUCUAUCCUAGGUAUAUGUUAAUGAUGCAUGUACUUACAUGAUGAACUGGCUCAGUAUUAAAUUUGAUGACUUGACCUACAACAUGAAAUUGACAGUUAUUGCCAGAAAGAAAAUACGGUUUUGGCUAUAAUAAUUUGCAGGCCGAUGGAAUAUUAAUUACUUAAUUAAAUAUUAAAAAUGAAGUCAUCCCAAGUUGUUAUUAUGUACCAAAUUCAAGUAAUCACAAGCGGUCACCACUUUACCCGGCAUCCCCAAUAUUCUUUUCGUUCUCCACUCAUCGGCCUUUCGAAAUUCAUACGCCUGUAUUUGAAUUUUUGCACAAAAUCAACAUUACAAAGGGUGCAGGGAUUUGCAAUCGCUCUUCUUAAGACCAAACAUACCAUGUAUACGUGUUUUGGAAAGUGUUAUUAUCAAUUACAANNNNNNNNNNNNNNNCAAUUCAUAAAUUACGAUUUUAAGUUGUCCAUUCUGUAUCAACUGAUGUCGCUAAUAUAUUUUUCUAGAAUUUAUAGUUUGGAUUAAUAUCCCGAUAUUUUUUUAAAAAGUAAUUCAACAACAACAGAAAUAUGGGGUGGAUGAUGAACUAACAUUAGUGUGUUAAUUAUUGAAGUGGGUAUUGUUGUGACCUUAAAGAAUUAUUUGUUGACAAUGGAAACCCAACUUAGCUGUCAAAUUAAAUGAAAGAAAAUGGGCAUUACUAUCAUCUAUUAAUAAUAAUAAUAAUAAUAAUUUGCAUUUCGUAAGAAGAAAGAAGAAUCUUCCCACGUUGGAUCUCUCGUCUUCAUCUUACUGACAACAAAAUGAAAAUUAAACCCUUUAGGAAGACUCGUUAUAUUCAAUCACUUCCCAUACCCAAUCCAACUUGUUAUUCUAAUCCAUUCCCAAACCAUAUAGCAACAAUAUUCAAUCGGCCGAAUUCUAUUCUACUUAGGAUCUCCGAGCAUAAUAAUUCGACUAUUGAUAAUAUCAACGUCAUAAAUAAACACACUGAAGGGAUAAAAACUCAAAUCGAGUCAACACACACCCAUCAUCAUCAUCAACACACAUUUAUUUACAAAGAUCUCAAUCGAUUGAUUUUUAGGAUGGAUAGCCGAAAUUAAACUGUUAAAAAAAAUAACCUUGGAUCUGCUUUUUGCGUUUCUUUUUUCACUAAUCUGCAGAUCGAAACAGAAGAAAACGACAACCUCCCCCAAAACCAAUCGCAAAAAGAAAGAUAAAAAUAUCCACAAAUAACCGGUAAAAAAAGAUUCAAAAGUAAAACCCGCAUCUCCGACGCCGAUCCCUGCCGUCGGCGGCAGAGAUUUAAAAAACAAAGGAGAAUGACACAUAUAAAAAUAGGAAUCACUCCGCCAGUUCACUGAUGCUCUCAAGACUUUGCCGCCACGCGCCGGAUCUCCCGGUCCGUCUAUGCCGCCGGGAAGAAGAAGUCGACAGCUUCUUCUGGUCGGCGAUCACCGCAUCCCUUAGAUACCGAUCGCAUACGUCGACGUCGACGGACAUGACUUGCUGUUCCUUGACUAUAUUAUUGGCCGUCUUGGUAGUGGUGGAAGAAGUAGUCUUUCCGCCGCCUCCGCCGAGGCAUUUGGGGCGGCGCUUCUUGUCGGCGGGGAGGGAGGAUUUGGGGAUGAGGAAGUAGAUGCUGCCGCGCUUAAGCUCGGAGUCAGGGGAUAAGAUGAGGAUGCGGCCGACGACGGUGCCUCCUUGGGAGGAAGGCUUGCUGAGGACGUGGUUGGGGUUGGCGUGGAGGACCUCGCCGGCGGUGAUGGGUCGGGUGAUUUCCUCGACGUAGCCGUUGAGGUGGACGAUCCGGAUGAGGUCAAGGGCUCCGCACGGGAGCACGCAUGCCAAACAGCACCUUAAGCUGUUUCCCAUUAUGAUUGAAUGUUUUCUUCUUAGCUCUUCUUCUUCUUGAAGGGAUUUAUUUGAUUGACCGAUUAGGGAACGAUGGAAGAAGGAAGAGUUGGAGGUGUGUGUAUUUAUAGAGCUUGGACCCGCCGUACAUGUAACAACAAAUUUUCGAGUUACGUUGCUUUCAAUAGUAAUUUAUUUUGGGGUUUUAAAUUACUAUUUUGUCCUUAUUUAGUGAGUUGCGUUUUUUUAAAUGACGUGGUUUUGCUCUAUAGGGGCAAAUUUGGAGGCAGAUUUUAAUCCAAUGAAGAUUUUUUUUAAUACGACUUGAAAGUGCAUUUAAAUGUUAUUAGAAAUUAUUGAUAUGAUAUAUGGAAGAAUAAUAUUAAUAAUAUCAUAGUUUAAUUAAUAAGACAAGUCCUAAUAAGUAAAUGAAUGAUAAUUACAUUAUUGUCUUGGUAUAAGUUUUAAAGUUUAGUGAUCGGUGGGUAAAAAGUUUAAAGUCGUUAAAGUUAUUAACCUUUUUUAUAAUGAUCGUUUAAUGUUUUCAUUCAUAAAUAAGUGGUUAUUUUAAAACAUCAAGUAUAUCAUAAUGACAGUAGGCAAACAAAAGAUCAGAAAUAAAGACAUUAUACACACUGAAGAGCAUUUCGUGUCAAAUGCUACCAAGAUCAUCGCCUUCAUUAUUGCCUUCUCUGUAGACAUGAAUAAACUUGACCUCACAUGCCAUUUGCAACAACUCCUGAUCAACAACAACAACAACAAAAUGAUGAUGGACGUACGUAGCCUUUCUCCCAAGCUAUAUUAAAGCUCGUAUCCAAUCUAUAUAAGUGAAUUGCACAAUGAAAUUUGAGUUGCAUUGAUAUUCACAUAUACGCUUUCUCCCAAAUUAUAUUAAAGUAUCAUUACAAUUUCCUUUAACGAAACGCACGGUAUCAAACACACAUCCAAAUAUCGGGAAUCAAACCUCCCUGUAAAUUUGUUUACAUUUCAACUAAACCACCUAAAUUAUGGGAUAGCCACAAAAAUGGUUCUGAUUAAUAUGUAAUAAAGCAUAAAAUUAAAAGCAUCAUUCAUUCAUUUGAAGGUUGAUAACUCAACAAAACAUUUUCAAUAGCAAUUAUUUUGGUGGUGAAAGGGCUUUCUUUCUUUUUCUAUAAGGUAGCAGUUGGGAUCUUUUAUUUUAAUUAAUCGGCUGGGGUGUUGAUCUAUUAGCAAAUGGUAAUGUUCCUUGUAAAUCUCAUUAGCUUAAGCAGCCUUAUUACGAUAAUUUAUAUAAUAAUUAAUGCAUCAAGACUAAGGUACUUGGCUGAAUAUAUAUUAUCAUCAAAUAAUACAAGCCACUUUC
rnacentral:lncRNA from 1 species